UAUUUAAUGGCUAACAAAUAAAAAAAAAUGAAACACAAAAGAUUAAUACAACUAUGAGCUUACGAAAUUAUUAAUUAAGUUAAAUAUUGCUUACCAACUUUCCUUUAAAAAGGUCAUAAACCUCCUCGGGAAGCCAUAUUCUGCUGUUAGCGUACUCUUCCCGUAUGACAUUUUCUCCCAUUUUUCUUAUCAUAUUAUGCAUCACAAAUAUAUUACUUAUGUUGAUGGAUAAAAGAGAUUUUUCAACAAGGUAAUCUAUUAGAAAACCACGACUCGGGUCUCUCAGUACUGAUUCCACACGAAAAUGAAAAUUAAAACCACCACAGUAUGCAAUAUCUAGAAAUGCAAUAUCUAGAAAUAAUUCCUUCUCAUCUUUGUCCAGAGCAUCAAAACUAAGCCUAAGCUUUCCUAGAAUAUCCUUGUGAGGGAUUCUCUUCAGCCGAUCAAUUAUGUGUCUCCAGUGCUUUUUGUCUCGUCCGUAAAAUGAAGAACCCAAAACUUUAAGAGCUAAAGGGAGUCCACCAGCAUGCUCCACCACUUGUCUUGAAAGUUCCAUAAAAUCUUCUUUUGGUGAUUUUUCUCUAAAAGCAUGCCUACUGAACAAUUCAAGUGCUUCAUCCUCAGAUAAUAGUUGGACUUCAUACACGUUAUCCCCAACGUGACUUAUUAACAAGUGCUUGUCUCUUGCUGUUAAAAUAAUUCUGCUACCCCUACCAAACCAUUCUGGCUCUCCAACCAAAAAUUCCAACUGUUCUUGAUGGUUUACAUCAUCGAUGGUGAACAGAACUUUCUUCCAGCGAAGCAUAUUCUUUAAAAUAUUCAUCCCUUCAUGCUCACUAGUUAGAGUCAAUUUUUCACCCAAGAGCUUGCAAAUGACGACUUGUUGUAGCCAUGUUAGUCCCUUUUUCUGAUGAAGUUUUCCAACAUCACCAAGAAAACAAUCAGCUUCAAAUUGAUGGCGGUAUCUUUGAUGUAGAACAUUUGCAAUUUCUGUUUUGCCGAUGCCGCCCAUACCCCAAAUACCAAUAGAGCGAACAUCAUUUGAUUCCAUAUCUAAUAAUGAGGUUACUUUAUCAACCUGAGAUUUCAUACCCACUAAGUUUUCCGGGAAAGGUGAAAUAAUUUGAAGUGACUUAGGAAAUAUGUCAUCAACUAGUUUCUUGACGCACUCAGCCUCAUCCCUACAUUACAGUGGAAAAUAAACUCAAAGUAAAUAAAUAGAAAAGCAAAGACUUGUCAUAGACUAAUAUCUAAAACAAACACAUAAUAAUGUCAAUUAUGAAUUAUUACAUUUUUAAAUCUAAUUACAUCAUCAAACAAUCAUAUACGUCUCUGUUUUCCUUUUUCGGUAAAAGUAUAGCUGAUGAUUGUGUGGAAUUGUAGCUAAAAGUUUGGUCCUUUUCGCUCUUGAUAAAGAGAAACCGGAAAAAAAGAAGAAAGCUUACUUGAAAUUAAGUAAAUGAUAGCCUGAUAUUUUCCCUGCCUCCACAAAUGCACCCCUCCAUCUCUGAACCUUCUCCAUAUCAUCUUUGCAUUUUUCCUCAUGUUGUAAAAAUGAAUCAGCAAAAGGGGGAUGUUGAUGGCACACAUCUGAUUGACUCACAUCAUAGAAGACUGGAAUCACAAUCUGCUCCAAUUCCUUUUUACACUUUAUGAUGUGUGCAAGCUCCUUUAAGCACCAUCUUGACGAUGCAUAGCUUUUGGAAAAUAUCACUAUAGCAAAUUUAGACUCUUGUAUGGCUUUCAAAAGUUCAUCAGAAAUUGAUUUUCCCGUUUCUAGUCGCUCAUCAUCUUUAAAAGUGCGGAUUCCUCUUAGUUCCAAAGAAUUAUAGAGAUGACUCACAAAGUUUCUACGUGUAUCUUCACCUCUAAAACUCAAAAAGACAUCGUACUUGCAAAUUUUGGAAGAUGAAGCAUGAGACAUUGUUGAAGAAUAUUGCUAAAGACUAACAGGCAAGUUCUCAGCACAACUGGCAAAUUUAUUUCUCAGCCAUAAUUUGGUGUAUGGGGAUACUUCCAUUCAUCUUCCUAUCUGUUACUAUAUAGAAUUAAAACAACCUGGUCAACAAGAAAGAAAAGACAAAGCUUAAUAUUAAAGAAUAAGGUUUCACCUACUUCACUAUUCCUAGGGAACUUCUUGUCAUCUUCCUAAUCCAUGAUUGUGAGAAAUUAAAGAGUAUAAAAAGACGCAACUUGGGCCGCCUUAGACCAAAAAAGGGAAGAAAAAACUUGUUAUCAUCUUCCUAAUUCAUUUGUACUACUUUUAAAAUAUUUUAUUGUAAAGACUUUACCUUUUUUUCAUUAUUCCAGACCUAUAUAGGAAACUACUUAUCAUCUUCCUAAUUCAUGACAUAAAAAUGUACACUUUUACAGUAUUGCACUGAUAAAUUAAACAAAUGAGCACCAAAUUGAUACCUUUCAGUAAAUUGAUAUAAAUUCGUUGCCCUACCUGCGAAAUUGAACAAAAUUUUCGUAGCAAUUUAGAAAAAAACACACAAAAAGCAGAAAAGAAAGACAAACCUCAUCAAAGAUAUUAAGCAGAAAUGAAGAGAACCACAAUCUAACAGCUGAUUGUUAAGUGCUAAAGGCAAAAUACUUUUUAAGCCCAAAAAAGAGAAAAUGGGUAUGUACAAGCAACAAAUGAAAGGAUCCUUGAAGCUCAAAUAUAGAGGGAUGUUGUUAUACUUCAAAGAAUAUUUUCUUUUAGGGUCAGAUUUGCAGACCAAUGUAACUUCUAAUUUUGUGUGCAGUAUAACAGGACCGUAACAUAUCCAAAAACCCAUGAAUUUAUAGGUAUACCAAGAUGGGUUCAGAUCAAUUGACAUCUCUUUUUGAUUUAUAAACCGAUUAUAAUCUAACAGCUCUGGAAUUCUGACUCCGGAAAAAGAAAUGAGAAAACAACCCCUUAGGUAGAAGUCACACUGCAUGUAAUAUAAAUUAUUAUUACUAAUAGAAGUCAAUUUGAUGAGAAUAUUCAACAUUCAUAUAUGAGAUAAAAACCUGGAUGCAUGUCCUGCGAAAAUGCUGUAGGAACACAUUAGCUUGUUCACUUGAGACAGUUUCACAUUCGGAUAUUGCAAGCCUACACAGCUUAGGGUAAUGAAUUACGAGAUCUCUGAUGCUCAUUAAGGCUAAAUGAUAAUCUGCAAAUAGCUCCCUUAGCUUUCCUGGCAGUCCAUUAAAUUCUGACAGAAUUCAAGUGACGCCACUUGAUGCAAAUCACCAAUGAUUUCUGGAAGCUUUUCUAGUCUUUUGCACCCUCUGGGCUCUGAGUAAAAGACGUUGCAGAUUCAUCAAAUUACAGAGGCUGUCUGGUAGACUUACAAGAUCUUCACAACCUGUCAGAUUUAGCUCAGUGAGGCCGCUCAUAUUUCUAGUGAACGAAGGCAUUUCUCUUAUCCCAGUAGAAUUCAGAGUCAGUUGUAUCAAGCAAUGCAUAUCUCCGUUGAUUUCUGGAAAUGCAUUAUAGAGAUGACUCACAAAGGUUCUACGUGUAUCUUUGUGACAUAACUUGACCCUUAGACCAAAAAAGGAAAAGAAAAAACUAGAAGUCAUUAUAUUUUUGCUGAUUUUAUUGUAAAGACUAGACUUUACCUUUUUUCAUUAUUCCAAGCCUCUGUAGAAAACUUGUUAUCAUCUUUCUAAUUCAUGACAUAUCAUUGUACCCUUUUGCAGUAUUGCAGUGACAAAUUAAACAAAUGAGUAGCAAAUUGGGGACAAAUAUAAGUUUUCCCCAUUUUAACUUAAUCAUACCUUCCUGUAAAUGAUAUAAAUUUGUUGCCCUACCUGAGGAAUUGUCCAGAAAUUGAAGAAAAAUUUCAUAAUAAUUUAGAAGAAAAAGCAGAAAAGAAUGACUGACCUGAGAGAACCACACCAAAAGCUAACUAUUGAGGUAUAUAAGAGCCUGUUUGGAUUCAGAAUAGUUUUAAAGUGUUUAUGUAAAUUUAAAAAGAAAUAGGCUUCAAUCAGCUUAUUGAGCUACAGAAGUUUUCUCAACUCACAAUGGAGCAUCCAGUUUUUAUAUUUACAUUAUAUAUACAAAUUCUAUGGAACAAUAUCACCGUAUACUUGAGAGUCAAUUAGCAGCAAACACAUCAUAAACAGAAAUACUACUUCUACUUUUUAUGGCUAAACAGAUCUUAUAUAAGCCCAAUAUCAGCUUCACAAAUGACAUACUAAAAUCUCAUACCCCUUCCAAUAGGACUCAAUUAUUUUUAAUAGCAUUAAUUUUCAAAUUAAAAAUGUCUCUCCCAAUCCAAGUUACCUUUUACAUAUAAAGGGAUCUUAGGAAGAUGGUGUGUACGUAACUUUACCCUUACCUAGUUAAGGUAGAGAAGUUGUUUCCCACUCAAACACCAACAUUAUAAAUAAAAAUUUCAUCCAUCUAUCAUCGAUACAAAUUCCUGGUAUAUAAUUAAUUUUCAUUUGAGAAGGGUACAUACAAAUUGUACCAACAAUGUAGAACAUACACUUUCCAUACCAUUUUAUGAUACAUGUUUGGUUGAAUACAAAAUUUAAGAAAGACAGAAAAAUAUUUGAAAAUUGUGAUGUAAAACAAGUCAUAAACAGACCUUUGCAUCAUUUGGGUUCUUCCCUUCUUUAUUGUCAGAAGCAUACCACAAUGUUUCAAACGGUAUAUAGGCACAACAAAUGAAAGGAUACUCGAACCUCGAAUAUUCAGGGAUGUAGUUCUACUCCAAGGAAUAUUUUCUUUCAGGGUCAGACUUGCAGACCAAUGUAGCUUCUAAUCUUGCGUCCAGUCUAGUAGGACCGUAACUUAUCAAAAAACCCAUGAAUUUAUCAGUAUACCAAAAUGGGUUCAGCUUAAGACAACAAAUUACGAGAUUUUUGCUGCUCUUCAAAGUUAGAUGAUAAUCAGCAAAUAGCUCCCUUAAAUUUGGGGGUAGCUCUCCUGGCAGUUCAUUAAGAUUCUGACAGAAUUAUACGUUCAGAUGCUGAAGGUGUAAGAGUCCUUUGAAGCUUUUUGGUAAACAAGAAAUAUUGCUUCCACUUACAUUCAAAUUUUCCAAAGAGUGCAAAGAUCCUAAAUCCUCAGGAAGUCCACUCAAUAUGUUGUGAUUAUUAAGAUCAUGUGAUGUCAAGGAGGAUAAACCUGAUACUUGAUUCAAGACAAAACUUGAGGAAUGUUGAAAUUGUUGUUCAUGUGAGAAUCGUAACUUCCACAGUUUGCCAAGCUUAGUGAUGGAGGGAGGUGGUUGGGAGAUUGCAGUUUCGCUCGCAUCAAGUAUAUGUAAAUCUUGCAAAUCACCAAUGUUUUCUGGAAGCUUCUCUAGCUUGUUGCACCCGUCGAGGUAAAGACAUCGAAGUUUCAUCAAAUUGCAGAUAUUCGAGGUCUCCUAGAUGCCCAAUGGAUGAAGGCACUUCUCUUAUCCCAGUAGAAUUCAGAGUCAGCUGUGUCAAGUAAUGCAUAUCUCCAUUGAUUUCUGGAAAUGUAUCUAAUUUUGGGGAAUUAGAUAUCUUGAGCUUUUGAAGGGAUUUCAUCUGAAUCGAGCUUGGAAGCUUCUUUAAGUUCUCACAUCCAUCUAUCUCUAACAAACGGAGCUUCUUUUGAACUCCAAGAGAUAUGGGGAGCUUUACCAAUCCAGAACAUCGGUAUAUACCAAGACAUCCCAAUUGCUGUGAUUCAAAGAGGUUGUUUGGCAGUGUUGCAAAUUUAUUGAAACCUGAAAUACUGAGAUCUCUAAGAUUUUGAAUGGCGUCCAGAAUACUCUCAAGAACUUCACACUCAGUCAAUUGCAAAUUUCUAAGGCUGCUGAAAGAUGGAGGUAAGCUUCUUAUCCACGGGUAUUUUACAUAGAGUAUUGAUAAGCGCGGCAUAUCUCCACAGAUUUCUGGAAAUUCUUCUAAGCUUGUGCAUUCAAGGAGAUUGAGAGUCUCAAGAGAUCCCACGCAGACAAAUUUUGGAAUCUUCUUAAGUUUGCGAUAACCUUCCAAACUCAAAUAAGUAAGCAGUCUGCAAUGUCCAAAUGAGGAAUGGACCUCUUCCAAAUUCACACACCGUGUAAAUUUAGUGUCUCUAAGUUUGGCAUAUCACCAAAAUUAGGGGUUUUUCUUAACUCACAGCUGUCCAUGAGAUCCAAAUGCUUCAAGUUGCUCAAUUUCUGUUUCCAAAAAAAAAAAAGAACAGUGAGCUUAACUAGUACUCCUAAUAGAAAUAUUUUGUAGGAAAAAAAAAUAAAGAGAAGAUAAGGUUGUUAUGAUCAUUAAAGGCGGUAGCCAAUCUGGAAAAGAACUUUUGAGAUACAUAAUUGUCUUAAAAUCCAAAUAUAUAUUUCUUUUCUUUUAAUUUCAUAAUGAAAAUAAAACCUCUUUAAACCUAGAAAUAAUUCCUUCUCAUCUUUGUCCAGACAAUCAAAACUAAGCCUAAGCUUUCCUAAAAUAUCCUUGUGAGGGAUUCUCUUCAGCCGAUCAAUUAUGUGUCUCCAGUGCUUUUUGUCUCGUCCGUAAAAUGAAGAACCCAAAACUUUAAGAGCUAAAGGGAGUCCACCAGCAUGGUGCACCACUUGUCUUGAAAGUUCCAUAAAAUCUUCUUUUGGUGAUUUUUCUCUAAAAGCAUGACUACUGAACAAUUCAAGUGCUUCAUCCUCCGAUAAUAGUUGGACUUCAUACACGUUAUCCCCAACGUGACUGAUUAACAGGUGCUUGUCUCUUGCCGUUAAAAUAAUUCUGCUACCCCUACCAAACCACUCUGUCCCUCCAACUAAAAAUUCCCACUGUUCUUGAUGGUUUACAUCAUCAAGGAUGAACAGAACUUUCUUCCAGCGAAGCAUAUUCUUUUAAAUAUUCAUCCCUUCAUGCUCACUAGUUAGAGUCAAUUUUUCACCCAAGAGCUUGCAAAUGACAACUUGUUGUAGCCAUGUUAGUCCAUUUUUCUGAUGAAGUUUUCCAACAUCACCAAGAAAACAAUCAGCUUCACAUCGAUGGCGGUAUCUUUGAUGUAGAAUAUUUGCAAUUUCUGUCUUGCCGAUGCCGCCCAUACCCCAAAUGCCGAUGGAGCAAACAUCAUUUGAUUCCAUAUCUAAUAAUGAGGUUACUUUCUCAACCUGAGAUUUUUUACCCACUAAACUUUCCAGGAAAGGUGAAAUAAUUUGAAGUGACUUGGGAAAUAUGACAUCAACUAACUUCUUGAUGCACUCAGCCUCAUCCCUACAUUACAGUGAAAAUACUCUCAGAGUAAAUAAAUAGAAAAGGAAAGACUUGUCAUAGAUUAAUAUCUAAAGCAAACACAUAAUAAUGUCACAAAGGUUGUUCCCCCGCUCUCCCCCCCCCCCCUGGUGUCAUAAGGUAGCUUAAAUCAACUAUUAUGAAUUAUAACAUUUUAAAAUCUAAUUACAUCAUCAAACAACCAGAUAGCUAAAAGUUUGGUCCUUUUUCCUCUUGAUAAAGAGAAACCCGAAGAAAAGAAGAAGAUCACUUACUUGAAAUUUUGUAAAUGAUACCCCGAUAUUUUCCCAGCCUCCGCAAAUGCACCCGUCCAUCUCUGAACCUUCUCCAUAUCAUCUUUGCAUUUUUCCUCAUGUUGUAAAAAUGAAUCAGCAAAAGGGGGAUGUUGAUGGCACACAUCUGAUUGACUCACAUCAUAGAAGACUGGAAUCACAAUCUGCUCCAAUUCCUUUUUACACUUUAUGAUGUGUGCAAGCUCCUCUAAACACCAUCUUGACGAUGCAUAGCUUUUUGAAAAUAUCACUAUAGCAAAUUUAGACUCUUGUAUGGCUUUCAAAAGUUCAUCAGAAAUUGAUUUUCCCGUUUCUAGUCGCUCAUCAUCUUUAAAAGUGCGGAUCCCUCUUUGUUCCAAAGCAUUAUAGAGAUGACUCACAAAGUUUCUACAUGUAUCUUCACCUCUAAAACUCAAAAAGACAUCGUACUUGCAAAUUUUGGAAGAAGAAGCAUGAGACAUUGUUGAAGGAUAUAAGACUAACAGGUAACUUCUCAGCCCAACUAGCAACAUUAUUUCUCAGCUAUGUGAAUGCAUAAUUUGGUCAAAAAGAGUGAAACAGUUGAGUUGACCAACCUGGUCAAAAAGAAAGAAAAGACAGACAAAUUUCCAGUUUAAUAAUAAAGAACAAGACUUCACCAUUUUCACUAUUCCUAGUCUUUAUGAGGAACUUGUUAUCAUCUUCCUAUUUCAACUUAUAAAAUGUUAACUUUUUCAUUACUGUGAGAAAUUAAAGAGUAUAAAAACAGACAAGAAGACUUACACCAAAAAAGGCAAAGAAAAAACUAAAGUCAUUACAUUUUUACUGAUAUUAUUGUAAAGACUUUACCUUUUUCAUUAUUCCAAACCUCUGUAGGAAACUUGUUAUCAUCUUCCUAAUUCAUGACAUAUAAUUGUACUCUUUUUCAGUAUUGCACUGACAAAUUAAACUAAUGAGCACCAAAUUGGGGCACAAAUUUAAAUCUUAACUUAAUCAUACCUUUCGGAAAAUUGAUAUAAAUUCGUCGCCCUAACUGAGAAAUUGCCCAGAAAUUGAAGAAAAAAAUCGUAAUAAUUUAGAAAAAAACACACAAAAAGCAGAAAAGAAAACUGACCACAUCAAAGAUAUAAGCAGAAAAGAAGAGAACCGCACUCUUAACUAUUGAGGUUUAUAAGAGCUUAUUUGGUCAGAUAUAUCAUUUUUAGGUUUAUCUUUAUCAAGAGGAAAAUGGAAUAAAGAUUCUUGACAAGCUGACGGAGUAUGUCGGAUUUUAGCGUUUUCUUUAAUAGUGUUUAUUAGCAAUAAACAAGCUUUUUUUUUUACUCGUAUUGAAGAUGCGUUUUUUUCUAAAAUGAUCCGUAUUGAGUUAAAUUAAAAAUUAGAAAGCAAGUAUUUGUGUUAAAUCAAGAUAGCCGGGAUGAUAUGAAAAAAACAAAAAUACAUGAUAUUAUUUAAUUUAAUUGAAUGUUUAAACAAGAAAAUUGAAGCACUUCCGUCAGUUAUUAUUCAUGCAAAAAUACAUUAAAAAAAAUCUCAAAAAAAAAUCAAUGUUCAUACAUUAAUUUUUAUUUUUUUUAAAAGGAAAACUAACGAACACAAGUUAUAUGGACAAACACCAACUAAAAAUCGCAUACCCUUUCCCAUAGGCAGUGGCGGAGGCAGGAUUUCCAUCGAGGGGGUUCAAAAAGAUAAGUAAGCACACUAUUAGUAUCCAUAUAAGCGGGGCGGGUCAAAUAUAAAUGGGUCGGAUCAGAUAUAAGCAACUAAAAAAAAUUCAACUCUACCUCAACACAAACAAUAAAAUCGAGUAAUCAUAUGUUUGACGAGAUUUGUAUUUUUUAAAACUAUAAUUAUGGGUCUUGUCUCUGUCAUUGUUGUAUACAAACGUUAUUUAAUUUUUGAAACUAACUAAGGAAUACUUCUAAAUCCGAUCAUACUGUAGCAAUAAAAUUUGCGUCGAUAAAAUAAUUAUCAAGGUUGAAAAAUAUCGCGACAAUUGUAUUUAUUUAUAAAUUUUAAAUGAUUACUCUUAUUUAUUUAAUCUUACUUAUAAUUAUAUUAAUUCUUAAUCAAAUAUAAAUUAAAUGUUUUCUUAAAAUGAGUAUGAAAGAAUGUAUUUUUAAUUUUAAUUAUGACAACAACGUUUAUAAGUUUUACUUAAUUUUAUAAAAAUGGAAAAUUAAAUUUAUUUUUUUAAUAUCUAAUAAAUAGUAUAAAUCUCAAUAGGUUUUCAAACAAAACAAAAAUUUUCAUUUAUUUAGAAAAUUAAAUGAAAAUCGGCUGAAAUAUGGGGGAAAAAAAUGCUGUUACAGGGAGUCGAACCUGCGACCCAGCACUUAUAUUGCGAAUUCUUGAACCCCCUUUACCACUAAACCAAGCCCUUAGCUUAUGUUCAGGGGUUCAUCACUUGGUAUAUACAUAUAAAUAAAAAAAUUGACCCUAUAUAUACCAUGUAAUUUUUCCAACGAAGGGGGUUCGGAUGAACCCCUUGGAUCCAUGUAGAUCCGCCCCUGCCCAUAGGACUCAAUUAUUUUUAAGAAGUAUUAAUUUUCAAAUUAAAAAUGUCUCUCCAAAUACAAAUAGCCUUUUACAUAUAAACAGACCUUUGCCUCACUCAUUGCUUCUUUUCUUUUUUCUAUGACCACUAUCAUCACUCAUUGCUUCCUCUUCAUACACCAGCCGAAUUCCCCAGCAUACUUCUUUCUCCAGCCCGUACAUGUGAGAAAACUCCAACAUGUAAUAAUCAUUUGGAUUCUUCCCUUCUUUAUUGCCAGAAGCAUUCCACAAUGUUUCAAAUGGUAUGUACCAGCAAUAAAUGAAAGGAUCAUUGGAAAAAGACCCACUCACCCCAUACUUCAAGGAAUAUUUUCUUUCAGGGUCAGAUUUGCAGACCAAUGUAGCUUCUAAUCUUAUGUACUUUGUAGUAGGACCGUAGGUUAUCCAAAAACCCAUGAAUUUAUUGGUAUACCAAGAUGGGUUCAGAUCAAUUGACAUCUUUUCUUGAUUUAUAAAUGGACAAUCAUAAUCGAACAACUCUGAAAUUCUGACUCUGGGAAAAGUAAUGAGAAAAUAAUCCCUUUGAUGGAAGUCACACUGCAUGCAAUAGAAUAGAGAUUAUUAUUACUACUACUAGAAAUCAAUUUGACGAGAAUAAUAUUCAACAUUCAUAUAUGAGAUAAAAACCUGGAUGCAUGUCCUGAGAAAAUGAUGUAGGAACACAUUAACUUGUUCACUUGAGACGGCUCCACAGUUGGAUAUUACGAGCCUACACAGCCUAAGACAAUUAAUUACGAGAUCUCUGAUGCUCUUCAAGGCUAAAUGAUAAUCUGCUAAUAGCUCCCUUAAAUUUGGGGGUAGCUCUCCUGGCAGUUCAUUAAGAUUCUGACAGAAGUGUAUGUUCAGACUCCGAAGGUGUAAGAGUCCUUUAAGGCUUUUUGGUAAACAAGAAAUAUUGCUUCCACUUAAACUCAAAUAUUUCAAAGUGUGCAAAGAUCCUAAAUCCUCAAAAAGUCCACUCAAGCCUAAAAUUAUCAGUUUCCCAAGCUUGGUGAUGGAGGGAGGUGGUUGGUAUAUUGCAGUUUCGCUCACAUCAAGCUUACAUAACUCUUGCAAAUCACCCAUGUUUUCUGGAAGCUUUUCUAGCUUUUUGCACCCGUUGAGUAAAAGAUAUUGAAGAUUCAUCAAAUUACAGAGGCUGUCUGGUAGACUUACAAGAUCUUCACAACGUUUCAGACAUAGCUCAGUGAGGCCGCUCAGAUUCCCAAUGGAUGAAGGCACUUCUCUUAUCCCAGUAGACUUCAGACUCAGUCGUGUCAAGCAAUGCAUAUCUCCGUUGAUUUCUGGAAAUGUAUCUAAUUUUGGGUAUUUAGAUAUCGAGAGAUCUAGAAGGGAUUCCAUCUGAAUAGAGCUUGGAAGCUUCUUUAAGUUCUCACAUCUCUCUAUUAUUAACAAACGGAGAUUCUUUUGAACUUCAAGAGAUAUGGGGAGCUUUACCAAUCCAGAACAUCCGUAUAUACAAAGAACUUUCAAUAGCUGUGAUUCGAAGAGGCUGUUUGGCAGUGUUGCAAGUUUAUUGCAACCUGAAAUUCUGAGAUCACUAAGAUUUCGAAUAGUGUCUGGAAUACAUUCAAGAAUUUCACAAUCACCCAAAUGCAACUCUCUAAGGCUGCUGAGAGACGGGGGUAAGCUUCUUAUCCAGGGGGAUCCUAGAGAGAGUUUUGAUAAGCGCCGCAUAUUUCCACAGAUUUCUGGAAAUUCUUCUAACCUUGUGCAUUCCCUGAGAUUGAGAUCCUCAAGAGAAUCCAUGCAGACAAAUUUUGGAAGCUUCUUAAGUUUGCGACAACCAUACAAACUCAAAUAAGUAAGCAUUUUGCAAUGUCCAAUAGAGGGAUGGACCUCUUCCAAAUUCACACACCCCUCUAAAUGUAGCUUCUCCAAGUUUGGUAUACCACCAAAAUUAGGGGUUUUUGUGAACUCACAGCUAUCCCUGAGAUCCAAAUGCUUCAAAUUGCUCAAUUUCUGUAUUCAUUUAAAAAAAAAACGAAAAACUAGUUAACUAAAGUAGUACUCCUAAUAGAAAUAUUUUAUGGGAAAAAAAAUAAAGAGAAGAGAAGGUUGUUAUGAUCAUUGAAGGCAGUAGAAAACGUGGAAAAGAGGGAGUCCCAUGUAAUUCUAUCAACCAAAGCUAGAACAGAUUAAAACAGAUGGAAAGAAAUCACCUAGGAGUCGUUUGGUAGAGUGUAUAAAAACAAUGCUCAAUAGAGUCUAUUAGUAAUACUUGCAUUAGUUAUGUAUAGAUUAUUUCUCAUGCAUUGUUUAGUUUGGUGUAUUAAAAAUUGUAUGCAUUGUAUAAAAAUAUUUAUGUACAAAAAUAUCCUCCACAAUUAUGGUGGAAAAGAUGUAAAAAUGCUUUUGAGGGGUAAUUGGGUCUAUGCUAAUACAUGUAUUAAAUUCAUUUGCAUUACUAAUACCUAGAAAUCCAUGGUAUUAGUAAUACACUCCACUAAUAUAGGGAUUUGAACCUGAGAUCUCAUAGUGCUCAAUCCACUUCUUUGACACCUAGUACACAUCCUUGGGUGCGCUUGCAAGUUCUUUAUUAGGUAGAUAUAAUUGCAGGAAGUAAAUUACUAUACAAUUAUAAAUCCAAAGAUUCAAAAAUAUUUACAUCAUGACUGUGAUGAAGUACUUCAUUUAUAUCGUGAAUGUCAACAAAGUUAGGUUCCGCCUAAAUAUGUUGAAGAUUUAAUUGGGAAAAGAAAGGUGAUGAAAAGAGAGAGGGAGAGAUUAUAUAUUUGAUUUUUGUGAUGAAGUUUGUACUUGUAAGAACAAUAUUUGAACUUUCAAGUGAGUGAUUACCAAAAAAAAAGAUUAAAAAAUUGGUGUUAAUUGUGUAUAACAGUACAUUUAUUUAAAGUAGCAUUUAAAUCGUGGACGGAUUAAUUUACGUGCAUUGACCUAUCAAAACAUUUAUUUCAAGCUCAUGAUUACGUUGAUUAAAAUUAGAAAAAGUAAAUUACAUGAAAGCGAGUUUAUAUACAUGAUGUUCUAUAAUUACAACUAUUUGUUCAGAUUUAUUAUUACAUUAUUCUGUACAAGAACUUUGCAACAAAUCUAGUUGAUGUAUAAUAUUUGAAAAUUUAAAACCAAAAUAGUAGAGUUAAUUGAUUUUAAUCCCUCGAAGGAGAAAACUUUGGUUCAAGCCGAUCCUAAUAGUAAUAUACAAUCAGUUAGCACACCAAUUGGAGUAUGUAGCAUGCGGACCGAAAAAGAUGGUAAUGUUAUGAGUCCUACAAUAGCUAAGGCUAUUCAAGAAAGUCAGGCUGCCAUGUUACUCAAACCCAAUUUAGCGAUCAAGCCACCCAUGGUCACAUUGAGCAUCUCAGCUCAUGAGGUCACUUCCCAAAAUUUGGAUUCACCUGAUGAACAUCAAGGUGAAUUUGGACAGCUCUUAUCAUCCACGGGAAAUGAUAAAGUUUUGGUGAAAGGUAUGUCACCACUCUGUCAAGCUAAUUUUACAAAUGAUUUGUUAAUUUCGAAAGAAAAACAACAAGGGGAGAUGAGUACUCCUAGGUGGGCUGAUUUUGGUUGAUGAAGAGAGCAUGUUUCACUCCUCUUUUGAAUAGAAAAUUAAGUCCACAAGCUCAAGAAUUUGUACCUAAAAGUACAAUUGCAAAGAAGAAUGAACAAGAGGCCUUAGCAUCAUGAUUUAGUCCAAUUAAUGCUUAUGCUAGUGAUUUGGGUGAUGAUUCUUUUGAUGAGGAUGAGGAAGAUAAUAUGUUGGACAUAUGCUUUGAUAAAGUGGCUAGAGAUGGGGAUAUCUCACCUAGGCAUCAAAGAAGUGGAAGCAACAAAAACAAAAAGAAGACACAUGGAAGACAACACAGAUGGGAUGGUAAUUUGACAGCGGAGUUUGUUCCAAGGCCCCUGCCGAUGCGACUGGCAAAGCAAAAUCAUAUGAUAGUGUCAAUAGCUUCAACAAGAUCCCAUACAUUCAAAAAGAAAUGAUGAAGUAUCAAAUUUUGUUGGACAUAUUUGAAGAAGACAAGAGGAAAAUACUUUAGGUUACUUUAGAUGGGCUAUCUAUCAUUGUUAAUUCACACAUUUGUAAAAAUAAGUUUGAGGUUGAUAACUCAACUUUCUUCUUGAAUUUUAUAUUUGUGCAUUAUUUAAGCAUUCUCAUUUGUAAUAUCAUCAUAGAGUGUAUUACGAAUUCUGUUAUGAUUAUAGAAUAUCUAGUUCUCUCUAGCUUUUAUUUUCUUCAUGCUUGUUAAUUAGUAGAGGUUCGUUACCUCAUAGGAUUUGACAAGGUAAGGCCUAGCCCCCCUUGCUUGUACUUAUUUUUUGUUGAGGAUUUUUGUUUUUAAUAAAAAAACUGCUAGACGCUCUGUCUAGUGGUAUUAAAAAUAAAUCAAUUUUGAACUAUAAAAAAUAAAGGGAAAAUGCAUAAGUACCCGCCAGCCUAUACCCGAAAUCCCAAAGACACACCUAACCUUUACUAAGGUCCUAUUACCCCCCCCCCCCCNNNNNNNNNNNNNNNNNNNNNNNNNNNNNNNNNNNNNNNNNNNNNNNNNNNNNNNNNNNNNNNNNNNNNNNNNNNNNNNNNNNNNNNNNNNNNNNNNNNNNNNNNNNNNNNNNNNNNNNNNNNNNNNNNNNNNNNNNNNNNNNNNNNNNNNNNNNNNNNNNNNNNNNNNNNNNNNNNNNNNNNNNNNNNNNNNNNNNNNNNNNNNNNNNNNNNNNNNNNNNNNNNNNNNNNNNNNNNNNNNNNUUCGGGCAUAGGCUGGGGGGGUACUUAUGCAUUUUCCCAAAAAUAAAUAAAAAAUACUUCAUUUAAGUUAUCUAUAGCCCAUUCCUAUAGAAAACAAAUACAGUUAUCCUACGUGGCACUAUCCUUGAAAAAAUUGUCAACACGCGCUGGGCCCACAAGAUAGUGCCACGUAGGCCGAAAAGGGGUAGAAAAUUAUAUAUAAAAUAAGUUCAGGGGGGUAAUAGGACCUUAGUAAAGGUUAGGUGUGUCUCAGAGAUUUGGGGCAUAGGCUGGGGGGGUACUGAUGCAUUUUCCCUAUAUUUAAAGCAAUUUCACCUUUGAAGGUUCAUAUAACAAAAAUAUAAAUAUUUAGUUAAGAUGAAUUACAGAAACAAGUAUAUAGCCAGCUGUCUAAUAAUUGUAAGAGAGUGUUACCUUUGAUAUUGGCCAAAGUUCAACAAGCCUACUUUCAGGUAAACAAAGCACAACGAGCUGUGAUGGUUCAAAGCUCUCUGGCAAUGAAAUUGAAGGAUACCCUAUCCAAUCAAUAAACCGCAGGCUGGAAGGAAGAUAAGUGACAGCGCAGUUUGAGUUAAAAGAUCCACCACCAACUAUGGGUAUUUUUAAGCUUUGCAUCCUCUUGAAAAUAUUGCUAUAAUCGACAAGAUCAUCUUCAAAAUAGUAAUCUUUAGGGAUACAUAGGCUUUCCACCUUUUCUGUUAUCUGUAUAGAAUGAAGCACAUAUUUAAUAGCUAACAAAUAAAAAUGAAACAAAAAGAUUAAUAGAACUACGAGCUUCCAAAAUUAUUAAUUACGUUAAAUAUUGCUUACCAACUUCCCUUUAAAAAGGUCACAAACUUCCUCGGGAAGCCAUAUUCUACUGUUAGCGUACUCUUCCCGUAUGACAUUUUCUCCCAUUUUUCUUAUCAUAUUAUGCAUCACAAUACUAUUAUUCAGGUCGAUUGAUAAUAGAGAUUUUUCGAUAAGGUAAUCUAUUAGAAAACCACGACUCAUAUAUCUCCGUACUAGUUCCACACAAAGAUGAAAAUCAUAUCUAGUCAAACAUGCAAUAUCUAGAAAUGCAAUAUCUAGAAAUAAUUCCUUCUCAUCUUUGUCCAGACCAUCAAAACUAAGCCUAAGCUUUCCUAGAAUAUCCUUGUCAGGAUUCUCUUCAGCCGAUCAAUUAUGUGUCUCCAGUGCUUUUUAUCUCGUCCAUAAAAUAAAUAACCCAAAACUUUAAGAGCUAAAGGGAGUCCACCAGCAUGCUUCACCACUUGUCAUGAAAGUUCUAUAAAAUCUUCUUUUGGUGUCACUUGCCUUGAAAGUUCCAAAAAUCCUUCUUUUGGUGAUUUUUCUCUAAAAGCAAGCCUACUGAACAAUUCAAGUGCUUCAUUCUCAGAUAAUAGUUGGACUUCAUACACAUUAUCCCCGACGUGACUGAUUAACAGGUGCUUGUCUCUUGCUGUUAAAAUAAUUCUGCUACCCCUACCAAACCACUCUGGCUCUCCAACCAAAAAUUCCAACUGUUCUUGAUGGUUUACGUCAUCGAUGGUGAACAGAACUUUCUUCCAGCGAAGCAUAUUCUUUAAAAUAUUCAUCCCUUCAUGCUCGCUAGUUAGAGUCAAUUUUUCACCCCAGAGCUUGCAAAUGACGACUUGUUGUAGCCAUGUUAGUCCAUUUUUUCUGGUGAAGUUUUCCAACAUCACCAAGAAAACAAUCAGCUUCAAAUCGAUGGCUGUAUCUUUGAUGUAGAACAUUUGCAAUUUCUGUUUUGCCGAUGCCGCCCAUACCCCAAAUACCAAUAGAGCGAACAUCAUUUGAUUCCAUAUCUAAUAAUGAGGUUACUUUCUCAACCUGAGAUUUCAAACCCACUAAGCUUUCCGGGAAAGGUGAAAUAAUUUGAAGUGACUUAGGAAAUAUGUCAUCAACUAGUUUCUUGAUGCACUAUGGAAAAUAACAUUGUUGGGAAAAUGAAUCAGCGAAAGGGGGAUAUUGAUGGCGUACAUCUGAUGGACUCACAUCAUAGAAGACUGAAUCACAAUCUGCUCCAAUUCCUUUUUACACUUUAUGAUGUGUGCAAGCUCCUCUAAACACCAUCUUGAGGAUGCAUAGCUUUUUGAAAAUAUUACGACAGCGAAUCUGGCAUCUUCUAUGGCUUUUAAAAGUUCAUCAGAAAUUGAUUUUCCCGCUUCCAACCGCUCAUCGUCUUUGAAAGCAUGGAUUCCUCUUAGUUCCAAAGCCUUAUAGAGAUGACUCACAAAGGUUCUACGCGUAUCUUCACCACUAAAACUCAAAAAGAUAUCGUACUUGCAAACUUUGGAAGAAGAAGCAUGAGACAUUGUUGAAGAAUAUUGCUGAAGACUAACAGGCAAGUUUAUUUCUCAGCCAUAAUUUGGUGUAUGGGGGAAACUUCCAUUCAUCUUCCUAUCUGUUACUAUAUAAAAUUAAAACAACCAGGUCAACAAGAAAGAAAAGACAAAGCUUAAUAUUAAAGAAUAAGGCUUCACCUACUUCACUAUUCCUAGGGAACUUCUUAUCAUCUUCCUAAUCCAUGAUUGUGAGAAAUUAAAAGACACAACUUGGGCCUUAGACCAAAAAAGGGAAGAAAAAACUUGUUAUCAUCUUCCUAAUUCAUUUGUACUACUUCUAAAAUAUUUUAUUGUAAAGACUUUACCUGUUUUUCAUUAUUCAAGACCUAUAUAAGAAACUACUUAUCAUCUUCCUAAUUCAUGACAUAAAAAUUUACCCUUUUACAGUAUUGCACUGAUAAAUUAAACAUAUGAGCACCAAAUUGAUACCUUUCAGUAAAUUGAUAUAAAUUUGUUGCCCUACCUGAGAAAUUGCCCACAAAUUGAAGAAAAAAUCGUAACGAUUGAGAAAAAAACACACAAAAAACAGAAAAGAAAGACUAACCUCAUCAAAGAUAUAAGCAGAAAAGAAGAGAACCACACUCUAACACUUUGUUUGGAUCAUUGUUAUCCAUUGUUUCAUAAUGUAUUGUAUUGUAUUAUACUCUAUUGUACUGUAUUGUGUUGGUUGAUACAAUGUUUGGCUAGACUGUAUUGUUUGUUGUUGUUUAAUAACAUUUUUAUUGUUUAAUUGAUUGUAUCGUAUUGCAUUGUAAUUUAUAAAUUUACUAAAACAUCCUUAAUUAUUCUAGGGUAGGAGGUUUGAUUAGAAUUAAAUAAUAUAAGGUAAAGGGUAAAUAGUAUUAUGAAAUAUUAUGUAAAGAUAUAAUUGGAAAAAGAAAUUAAGUAACAAUUGAAACACACCAAAUUGGUUGUUCCAUAAAAUGGGGUUUUUUAUUGUUACGUAACAACAAAAUUUAACAAUACAAUACAAUACAAUACAUUUUAAGUAACAAUGAAAACAAACAUUGUAGGUACAGUAACGAUACAAUACAAUAUAAUGGGUAACAAUGAUCCAAACAGAGUAUAAGAGCUCAGUGUUAAGUGCUAAAGGCAAAAUACUUUUUAAGCCCAAAAAAGAGAAAAUGGGUCUGAUAUAGUUUUUAAUUUUGUGAGUUAAGAGUUAUUCUAUAGAGAUAAGUGUCAAAAACACACUAAAUUAUCCUUUUUUUUUUUAGUUUUAUACCUAAAUUAUUGAGAGUGUGAGUUUUAUACCUAAAUUAUCAUUUUUUAGUUUGAAAAACACACCUCAGUGGUGUGUGUAAUGCACUCUCUCUUUUAUUUGAAAAAAUCUUGACACAUGACAUUCCACAUUGAUAAAAUAUUCAACCUUGACAAAAAUUUACAUAAGAGUAUUACUUGUAUUGUUUAAGUAUAAUUGCAUUACGAAAUAUAAUAAGAAUCGAUCCUUAGUAAAAAACAAGGGACUUGAUAUAAAAAGUUAAAAUAUGUAAUAGAUGUUAAAAAGUAUAAGAUCUAAAUAUCCUGAAAAUUAUACAAAUAAUUUCUCAAAUCUCAAAAAUCUUAUAAUUUCUAUAUCACAUUUCCUACCAACUAUAUUUUAUGUAUGUGAAAUAAUAAAAUUGAUAAAAAGAGAGUUGUAAAUAGCAUAUCCAUUAUAUACCUGAUGAUGAGAAGUGAAGAGCGCACAGUUGCCAAAUAAAAUCUGAAAAUGUAGAGAAAUAAAUAAGAAUUAGUUAGCAAACUCAAGAAAAUCUUCAUAUAUUAAAUAUACAUUGUUGAGAACUAAAAUGAGCAUAAGAGGAAUAAAGUAGUUACCAAUCAACAAUCUAUAUAUAAUAUAAAGCCAAAUGUAAAAAAAAGUGAUGUGGCACCUCUCUAAGGCCUUCAUUGCUAAUAUAUAUAAUAUAAAGCCAAAUGUAAAUAAGGUGAUGUGGCACCUCUCUAAAGCCUCCAUUGCUAUUUUUUUUUUUUUGACAUUUUUCUCUAUUUUAUCUUAUUUUUUAAUUAAAGAAUUAAUCAUAUUCUAUUUAGUAAUCAUAUUAAUUUAGUGUCUAUAAGUUAUUACAUUAAUUGCUAAUUAUUAUAUAUAUUAUAUUGAAGAAUGGAAAAGGUCACUAACUGAAAUCAAUAAAGCCCAAAAAAUAACCUUUUUCCGUUAUUACCCCAACUAAUAAAUUCAUAAAAUCUUUUUAUUGUCCUUUUCUUAUUCAUCCUUUUUUUUCUCCUCACUACAUUUUGUGCCUUUUUCAUUAUUUUCCUGCCUUAAUAUUUUGCAAAAAUUAACUAUAAUUUUAUUUAUUUUGUUCACCAUUUAACAUCAUUAAUCACUUUUUUCUAAUACCUUUCUCUAUUCCUUCUUAAAUAUAUUACUAAAUUACAAUUAAGACACUAAUAUCAAUAUAGUUACAAUUUUAUUGACUACUAUAUUACUCUUUUAAUUUAUAUUAUUCAAUAAAGUUACAAAUUUAUUGAUUACUAUAAAUACUAGAGCAUAUCAUCUUCACCAACAGUAAGAAUUUUUUCUCUUCUUCUUUCUUCAUUAUAUUUAUACUAAAGUGUACAUCACUUUGUUUACGGCUAAUUUUAUUAUAUAUAGAUGUCACUAACUUCUAUUAUUUACAGUGUAGAAGAUAAGAUGAGCAUAUGACAAUUUUGGGAUUUCAAACUCAAAUUCAAUUUUGAUGAGUAUUAUAUAUAAUUUAUGUUACUCUUCUCAUUUUAGUUUGUUUGAUGUCUCUUAUUUAUAGUGUUCUUUCUUAUUUAUUUUUUCAUUUGUGUUGUUUUUUUCCUCACUAUUUUUGAUUUUACUACACUUAUUAUUCCAUGCAUAUUUUUUGUGAAUAAGUUUUAUUGUUUAUAAUGGAAGAUGCAUAUGAUAAUAUUUAGGGAUUUAAGUUUAAGUUUGAUGAACAAAUCAGUAAAGGAUCCCCUCAAUUACUAAUUUGUCCAUUAAUCUUCAGUGGUAUAUUGGAUGUUGGUUAUGUCGAUAAAUUAAAUAUUAGAGGAAAGGAUCAUCUACCUUGGUACUUCUACAAAGAUUCUUUUAUCUAUUAAUUAAUUUUAAUUUAUUCUUAUACUAAAUUUUUUAAAAAAAAAUUCAGGUAAAUUGUUUUUAACCUUGAAGGCUUGAAUCGUUUAGUUCAUAGACCUUCAAGAUUUUUUUUUUUGAUUCAACAUUGUAUAUGUUUUUUUACCUUCACAAAAAAUGAAUUUAAUUUUUGUGUUGUUAUGUUAAGUUGAGAAUAAUAAAAUUAAUUUGAGAAUUCCAGAUUUUUUUUUGUUUAUGUUUACCUUUGAGAAUAAUUUAGAAAUAUUAACUAACUUAUAACUAAAGUUAAAGGAAUAUUAAUUUAUACAUAUAAUACUUUGAGUUUAAUUUAUUUGAAUACUUUAUAGUAUUUAUGUAAUUGAGGUUAUGUAUUUCUCAAUCUAUUCAUUUUAUAUAAAUAAAAUAUGUCGUAUAUUAUAAUUGUAGUAAAAAUUAGUCAAGAUAAAAAGUGAUUUAUAAAUAUUUUAUAAGCUAAGAUUAGUGAAAGGUGAAAAAAAAGGUUGAUUCAUUAUUAAAGAGAAUAAUAGCAACUUUCAUAAAAUAUGUAUAUUAAAAGGAAAAAAAAUAAGUAUGAAGAGACUGUCAUAUUUGUAUGAAAGAGUAAUUAUUUAAAAUUGUAAUUGAUCCUACUCAAAUCUCAACAAAUAUUUUAGAGCUAUUUUUAUUUGAUGAUCAAGGAUAUAAUAUUGUUUAAUGUUUUGAGCUUUCUAAAUUUGAUUUAAUAUUUGUAUUCGCGAGAAAGAUGCAAACAAAAAAAAUGUGUACAAACAAUGAAAGAUCGAUUUGAAAAAUGUCACACAAAAUUAUAAAAGUAAGAUUGAACACUAACUAAAGUUUUCAUCAACAAAUAAACUCUUGAGAAACAUUAGAAUAUAUUUUUUAAUGUAUUUUAAUUUAUUGACAUGUGAUCUUCAUAAUCUAAAAUAAAUAAUAGAUAAAGAAAAGGAAGAUGAUCAAUUAUAAUUAUCAAUAUAAUUCUAUAUCAUAAAAAAUACAAAGAAAAGUUAACUAACAGAAAAUUUUAAUUUUUGAAUUUUCCUUUAAAAUUAGUUGAAGCAAAAAAGUGAACUAACUUAAUUAUCUUAAAGGAAAGAUACUGAAAAUAUUAAAUAGGCAAAAAUAAAUAAUUGAAAAGGGAUGUGGAAAAAUGUGGCACCGAAAAUCAUUUUGAAAUGUAACUAAAAAAAAGAGAUAGAAUUACAUAAAUACAAUAAAAUUAUCCAAAUGAAAAAUAAUAGGAACAAAAAUAGAACAAGAAACUCAUAUAAACAAAAAAAAAAUNNNNNNNNNNNNNNNNNNNNNNNNNNNNNNNAAAAAAAAAAAAAAAGAGAGAGAGAGAGAAAUUUCAAAAUGUCAACUGUCAAGAAUGAAACAUAUAUAUAAUUAAUUAAUUUGUUUCUUUUUCUUAAUUAAGUUCCUGAAAUUAUGAUUUGUUUAGAAAGGUUUAAAUUUUCAGAUUUGAUUGCAUCAAUGUCUUACUAUUCUUGUCACAUUUAUAUCUAUAGUAAAGUUAGAUGUAGAUAAAGUGGUGUGGUCACUUUUUAUGAUCUAGAAAGUCAUUUAUCUUCUUUUUUUUCAUUAAUUAAUAUAACCAAUAAUUAAAAGAAUCUAUUAUAUUUAUUACAUUUAAUUAUAUAUCUCAUGAGUUAUAAAAAAAACCUUUAUUGUUUUGUAUCCUCUAUUUAUUAAUAUGUCUCAUCAAUUCUUUUUACGUAAUUUUUACAUUACAUGUAUUUUAGCUAGACAAAAUAAGAGUGAUGUAACACCUCUCUUUUCCCAAAAAUAGAAUUUAUUUAUUUAUUUUUAUUAUUCUAUUUUUUACUUUUGAUCUCAUUUUUAUCAAUAAUUAAUCAGAUAAAUUAAUUUUUUAUAAAAUAAUUUGAAAAUAUGAUUUUUAUCGUUGCAGAUAAUCAUUAUCCACAAUUAUACAAAGGAACGUGUCCAUGACCUUACAAUGCAAGUAAAAACGGACAACACCCCUCAAUACCUACACUUUUGAUGAAACUAUUGAUAUGUAUUGGUAUCAAUAAUCUUGCAAAUAGUAUGUGACUUCUUAACUUUUGAAGCUAAUGAUUCAACAAGUUAAUUUGUAUAUAUCAUUGUUCAAAUACUAUACUUAUUGAGAGUAUGAUAAAAAAAAUUAUUUUGAUAUAUUACUACAAUUCAUAUUUCUAAUUUGAAUUCUUGAAUGAAUGUAAAUUUAAUAUGAGCUCGAUACAUACUACAGUUCACUUAUAAGUUACAAUGCAUUGGAGUCAAGCAGGCGCAAAAGAAAAAAUAAAUAAUUGUGAUGUAAUGUGCUUAUGAUGUUCUUCAAUUCUGAAAGGACUGACAAUUUUACUUCUUUGUAUAGUUUAAUAUUAUUUCUUUUGUAAGUUUUAUUCUUUGUGAAGCCUUAUGUACAAAACAUAAUUUUUUAGACAUUUUAUGUCUUAACCAUAAAUUUUAAAGGAUAAGAUUCUUUAAGAGCAAUAUUUUAUUAAGAAUAAAAUAUGUUUAUGUAUUUAUCAAGAAAACAAGUUUUGUGCAGAGAUGUGAGAAGUUAACUAUGGAUGGUUUCAAAAAAAGUAGACGCAGACCAAAGAAGUAAUAGAGGGGUGAUUACACAGGAAAUAGACAUCUUUAACACUAAUUUAAUUGAAGUAAACAUAAUGUAUAAUUUUACCUUUAUAGGUUGAUAGCAUAAAAAAUUAACUCUGCGUUUUAGAAGAACAAAAAAUAAUUGUUAAAAAAAUGUUUUCGUAAAAAAUAUGUAUUAAAUAUAUUUACAUUUUUAAGCAUAUAAGCUUAUAAAUAUUUUAGAAUAAAUGAAAGGAAACUUAUGUAUAGAUACACAUAUAGAUGAAGGUUCAACUUAUUAAAUCAAAACUUACCUUUUUUAAUUAAAAUAAGGUGAACAAUUUUAGCGAUGUAGGUUUUUUUCAGAAGACCUACGAUUUUUAAGCGAUAUAAAAUCGCAAAAUAUAUAAAACAUAAGUACUAAUAAUAAACUAAAUUAAGAAUGAAAUUUGAUAUAUUUGAAUUAAACAUUACAAAGAAUUUUUAGAAUAUUUUUAACACUCAAUUAUUCUAAAAAUUAAUUAUUUGACGAAUUUAGCGAAUUAUUUCUAAUCGCACGAUGCGCGAUUAAGUUCAAUAGUUUAUAUUUAUAUAUUCAAACUUUUAUGGCAUAUAGCUGCUAAUCUAUAUAUUAUAUAAAGCUUAAAGAUGAAAGAUUAAUGUGACUUGAGUUGUAGAAGAUCACUGCACAUGCACUAGAUAUUACUCCAAUUCUAUUUGACAAGGAACAUGAAAAGUUCACGUAACUUUUGGAAGCUCAAGGGAAAAAAUAGUAAAUGUGAGAUAUGAAAUAGUAGGAUUGUAAAUUGAGUUCAAGUAAUCUGUAUUAGGUUAAUUAAUGGGGAGAUGAAAGAUUUCUAUCAAUUAAAUGUAGUUAAAUUACUGAUAAAUAACUUUUUUUCAAAAUGAUAAAAUGAUUACUCAACUUUUAACUAUUUAAUAUUUUAUUAUUUACAUGUUUUAUAACAUUUUUAUUUAGUCUAGGGGCAAAAUGGUAAUCCAACUUUGAAUGUUGGAGCUUCCCACUUACAAUAACAUAUGAUGAUGAUGAUCUAUGUAGGGGUGGAUCCACGUGGCUUCCAAGGGGUUCACGAACCCCUGGGUAAAAAAUUACACUGUGUAUAUAAGGUAAGUUUUCUGUAUUUUUGUAGAUAUAUUAAUUUAAAACCCCUUCAUAAACAUGAAGUAAGCUAUAGCAUAGUGGUAAACUUCUUUUUAAAUUGACCCUACUGUCCAGGGUUCAAGCCCCAUUGUGAGCAUUUGUAUUUUUAGCUUCUCUUCCUUUAGUUUCAGGAUCAAUCGUUUAUACUUUUAUUUUUCGAACCCCCUGAAUGAAAUUCCUAGGUCCGUCACUGGAUCUAUGACUUUUAUCAUUGUUUUCAGACCUCAUGUAUACCAAUCAAUAGCUGAAGCAAUUCAAGUUGCAAUUCGACCCCAGGCGGAAGUGCCUUUGUUGAUUCUUUUGCAAUUUGAUCAAAUAUUGUCAGGUACAGUCUUUCUUUGACUCUCAUGAACUUUACUGACGCAUAUUUUCAUCGAUUCUCCUUAUAGCUCUAUUUUCUACUUCAUACAGAUCAACCGAGACAUACUCAACUCAAUCAAUGCUUCUACUUGGUGCAGAGCAACCAAAACAAAUAUUGUAAUAAUCUUUACAUUGUUGGGCCCGGGCUAACCUUACUAGUAUAUACAAAAGUGACUAACAUAUGGUUCAUAUAUAUAUAUAUAUAUAUAUAUAUAUAUCCUUUAUCAUUAAAAGUGGUUCAGGUAUAUCAUAUUUUUCUAAUGGAAAGAAGGAAAAUUUUAAUUUUAAAUUAUAUUUUUGAUUUUUUUUAUAAAUAAAUUCUUGUAGGGUACAUAUAAUUAUUUUAGCAAAGGAUUUUUCUCACACAUGAUUUAUCUUUUUCGACUUUUGUGAUUUAACACUUAAUUUGAGUGUAAAAUAUUUCCCUUAUAGAUCUAUUUGCUUAUCAUUAUUUGAGUUUUUUAUUCUUAUAUUCUUUUAUUUUUAGUGUAAAAAUAUAAGAAAUAAAAGGGCCAGAGAAAAAAUUGGGCAAUCAUCAAAAUUGAUUAUUAUAUAUACAUUUUAAUCCUUGAUCAAAGUUUAUGGAAUCGAAUUUUGAAACUAUCUUUAAUAGACAAUAUUUCAUUUACAAUAUUUCUUAGAUAUAUGCUCAUGUGUAAGUUAUAACAAUCACACAGAAAAUGACUCAAACACCAACAUAUUUAGUGAAAUUUUGAAAGGAUGGUGGAUACUCAACGUACCUACCUUAUAAUGGUAACGAAGUUGUUUCGGACUUGAAAACCAACAUUACAAAUAAAAAUUUCAUCCAUCUAUCGUUGAUACAAACCCCUUAUAUACAAAUUGUACCAACAAUGUAGAACAUAUUCUUAACAUACCAUCUUGUAAUACGUGUUUGAUUGAAUACGAAAUUUAAGAAAGAAACAAAAGCAUUUGAAAUAUGUGAUCUAAAACAAGUCAUCAGUCAUUGCAUCCUUUUCAUACACCAGGCGAAUUCCCCAGCAGCGUAGUUCUUCCCACUUCCUGUACAAAUCAUAUACCUCCAACAUGUAAUAAUCAUUUGGAUUCUUCCCUUCUUUAUUGCCUUCUCCAUUCCACAAUGUUUCAAAUGGUAUGUAGACGCAACAAAUGAAAGGAUCGAUGAACCUCGAAUAUCGUUGGAUGCUGUUAUACUUCAAGGGAUAUUUUCUUUCAGGGUCAGAUUUGCAGAUCAAUGCAGCUUUUAAUAUUGUGUCCAGUCCAGUAGGACCGUAACAUAACCAAAAACCCAUGAAUUUAUCGGUAUACCAAGAUGGGUUCAGAUCAAUUGAGAUCACUUUUUGAUUUAUAAACCGAUCAUAAUUGAACAACUCUGGAAUUCUGUCUUGAUCAGGAAAAAAAAUGACAAAAUAAUCCCUUUGAUGGAAGUCACACUGCAUGCAAUAUAAUUAUUAUUAUUACUACUAGAAAUCAAUCAAUUUGACGAGAAUAUUCAACAUUCAUAUAUGAUGAGAUAAAAACCUGGAUGCAUAUGUCUUGAGAAAAUGCUGUAGGAACACAUUAACUUGUUCACUUGAGACGGCUCCACAGUCGGAUAUUACGAGCCUACGCAGCUUAAGACAAUUAAUUACGAGAUCUCUGAUGCUCUUCAAGGCUAAAUGAUAAUCUGCUAAUAGCCCUUUUAAAUUUGGGGGUAGCUCUCCUGGCAGUUCAUUAAGAUGUGUGCAAUUCCUUUUUACACUUUAUGAUGUGUGCAAGCUCCUCUAAACACCAUCUUGAGGAUGCAUAGCUUUUUGAAAAUAUUACGACAGCGAAUCUGGCAUCUUCUAUGGCUUUUAAAAGUUCAGCAGAAAUUGAUUUUCCUGCUUCCAACCGCUCAUCAUCUUUAAAAGUGUGGAUUCCUCUUUGUUCCAGAGCCUUACAUAGAUGACUCACAAAGGUUCUACGCGUAUCUUCACCUCUAAAACUCAAAAAGAUAUCGUACUUGCAAACUUUGGAAGAAGAAGCAUGAGGCAUUGUUGAAGAAUAUUGCUAAAGACUAACAGGCAAGUUCUCAGCUUUGGGUAUAUAUUUGUUGUGCUGCUUAAUAAAGAGAAAUAUUCGAAGCCUAACUGGCGAAAUUAUUUCUCAGCUAUGUGAAUGCAUAAUUUGGUCUAUGGGGAAACUUCCAAUCAUCUUCCUACAAAUUGUAGAAUUACAUAUUUGUAGUUAUAUACAUUUUUCCAUAGGGUCUUUAAUAAUAUCCUUCAUCUUUGAAUCUUCUCCAUAGCAUCUUUGAAUUCUUCCUCCUGUUGAGAAAAUGACUCAACCAAUGGUGACUCACAUCAAUUUUUUCUUUCUUAUUAUAGUUAGUCUCUAGGGCAGCUUGAGCACACCUCGACUAAUUCCACAAGUCACUUUAUAAAUCAAUUAAUACGUUUAUUAAUAAUCUUCUAAGAACAACUAUCUUUUCCAUUCACCAGUGUUACAUGCCUCUUCAAUUCCUUAGAUGUAUAUCUCAUGUUUCACUUGUUCUUCUUUUUCCUUUUUAUAACAAGUUUAUCUAUUUUAAAUAUUACUCUUGAAAAUUCCGAUGGUGUAAGAUGAAUAUCAUUGAACUUCAGCUUAAGAAACCUACGAAUUUCCGUAGUUCAUUAGUUGACUAAUUCCACAGGAUACCUCCCACCUCCCACCAACAACAAGUAUCAGGUAAGUCUAUCCAUCAGGGAUAGGACAAGGAUAAAUGGGAAGACACCUAAUGUUUUUGUCUUCGUUGGAAUUUGAACCUAAGGCGCCAUGGCUCUCAACCACUUCAUUAACCACUAGGCCACACCCUUUAUUGGGAACUACUAUCAUCUCCCUAUUUCAACUCAUAAAACUGUAUCCUAGAUAUUCAUUAUUGUGAUAAAUUAAAGUCAUUACAUUUUUACUGCUUUAAAAUACUUUAUUGUAAUAUGGUCAAAAUUAACCCCAAGUUUCGACAUAAGAAGACAUGCAAUACGAGGAAUUCCAAGGAUUCGGUCACCCAUCAAAUGGGUCCAACCUCUAAUGAAGUUCAUAUGCAGGAUCAUUGUUCAAUGGGGACCAACUUCUUAGAAAUUUCCAGAAUGUUAUAUUCUAGGUGUUUUGAUGAUCCUCACAAAUGCAGGAAUCUGGUCCCUGGCAGAAUGCUCUCAUCCAAAUUCAAAUGGGAUACAGUUGUAAAGUUGUCAUGUCAGGUGGUAGGUGAAAAGCGCAGUGUACUGCACCAACAUGAAGAGCGGACGAGACUAUCUAUUUCAGUGUCUCACAAAUGCAGGGACCUGGUCUCGGGCUGAGUUCUCUCGUCCAGAUCUAUAAUGGGGUACAACUGGAAAGUUGUCGCGUCAGAAGUUGGUGAGGUCGUCAGUGUACUACACAAUCAAAAUCGGCGAGGUUGUUGUCCAACGGUCAAUAACUCCUUAUGAUUGACUUAGUUAACAUUACAAACAACAAAUUAAUUCAUUCAUUCAAAAGGAGAGAGAGCCAACACGUCUUCUCAAGAACUUACUAAGAAAAGUCUGUAAGGGACCUGGUCCCGGCAAGACUGUGUAUGUGAAAGGAAGACAACACAACUGUAAAGUUGUCACUUCUGAUGUGACACUAGUGCACGUCUUUAAAGAGAAGGUAGGCUCUUAGCCAAUGGGCAGUCCCAAGGAGUUUGUGGUCAUUUUAAUAUAGUCUCUUCCAACAAAAUACAAACUCAAGAUUUGGCAAGCUAAAACUCACAAGCAAAAAAAGAAGAAAGCCAUCUUCAACGAAGAACUCAAGCACAAGAACACAUACAACAAGGACCUGAUCAAGAGAAAGAGUGCUUUCCGUACCAGCUGCUGUUCUUGAUUGUUUGUAUUUGUACUUAACUUGUAGGAUUCGUUUCCCUCUUGUUAGAAAUGUUUCAAAACUUUGUUUGAGUCUUGUAAGAACAUAGUUAGGGGUAACUUUGUGUUUUACGGUCAAAAGUCUAUAUUAAUAAGUGAGGGUUAGUAUAGUGAGCAGUGUUGUAUCUGCUUAGGCUCGGUUGAGUAAUAGAUGAUAUUACUUAGUGUGGAGAUGUCAUGACCCGAGCCUACACCCUGGGUGGGACAUGCACUCGGAGACCAUUGCAGGCCCCAAGCGAACCCUUGGCCUGCUCACUUACUCAGCGGAAGACAAUAGUCGCAUCUAUAUUGAUACCUGGACUUAAUUGAACUGAAUAGAAAUAUCUGCAAAUGUUUUAAAAUAUUAAACAUUCAACUUGGCCAAAAGUGGCAACCCAAGUCUCAACCAUCAAAACAGGAAACAAAAGACUCAAGAACUAACUGUCUAUCUAUGAAGCCUCUAAAACAACUGAGAUGGAUGUUGGGACAAGCCCUACAACAUCCUAAUGAACUAAACUAGAAAGUAAUGAAAUGGAUCCUCCGGAAUGCAAUAAGGCUCACCAACUGACUCUGAGUGUUGAACAUGAUCAACGAGGCGUUGGAUGCUGAUCCUGGUUACCUGUGUCUGCAUCAUAAUACGAUGCAGGCCAACUGGCAUCAGUACAUUGAAUGUAUGAGUAUGCGAGUUGGAAUGCUAAAACAACAUAGGCUAGAAAGAAUCUGAGAGAAACUGAAGAACUUACCUGGCUCAACUCAACUCAACCUAACUGAACUCAUUUCAAUAUAAAGCAAUUUAAAAACAAGUGCAAUAUAAAGAAAAGAACUGUUUGAAAACACGACAUCAACUCUGUAUGUAUGCAAAGAUACAAAUAACUCUGAGAUGUAUGUAAAAAUACAAAUAAACUGAUGUAUAUAAAAAUACAAUACUUCUGUGGGAGUUUCUCUAACCGACAACCAUCACUUCAGAGCUAUAGUGAUGAUACAACGAUCUUCCUCACGCUGCCAGCGCAUCCUAUACCCGGCCAAAUGUAUAAGACCUGAAUUACCUAAUGGAUCCACUAGUCUAUUUCGAAAAGGGUUCAUCAUAAAAGUAUGACCCAUUUCUACCCAUGGUGGCUACAUGGUUUUAUGGAGAUGUGAGUUAUCUGAACUCAUGCUCGUCUCCAAUUCAGUGCUCAAUACUACUCCCAAAAUAUAUUGGCUCUUAUGUUUUAAAAACAUAUUUCUUCUGUGAUUUGAGAUUAGUGCUCAAAAACUUAGCUCAAAAGCUAUCUUGGAAAUCUCAGUUUCCCUGCUUGCUUCAUUUAGAAAGCUAUUACUCUUUUAUGAAAACUAGCCCAAAGGCUCUUUGGAAAUCUCAGUUUCCAUUCUUAUUUAAAUGUGAAAGACAUUUACUUUGGGAAAUACUUAGUCCCCAUAUGCUUCUUUGAAGAAAAGAACUCCGACUUAACUCUUUACUGAACUCAAAACUUAAGCCUUAAAACAAAGUUAAAACAUUUGUGAAAGACCUUUUUGAAAACUUUAAGAACUUAUCUUAACUUGACUCUUGACUUCUCUUGACUUUGACUCUUAACUGAUCUUGACUUGGCUCUUAACUGAUCAUUGAAUUGAAUUAUGGAUUCAAGGAUUAAGAUUUGUGAUUGGAAAGAUCUCAUGUUGUUUUAGGAAUGAUUUUUAGAUAGCUAAACAUAAGAAAAGACCGAAACUCAAAAUACGAAAGUGGGUCCGCGACGCGGAGGCAUAAUUUAAUUUUGGUUUCGAAAAUGUCUUUUGAGGCAGAACACCUUGUGUCAGCUCCGCGACAUGAAGCAUAAAUUUUCAAAAUAUGGGACCAAGAGGGCGACGCACAACCACUUUCUUCUUCGUUUUCCAGCCCCAAUUCACCCAAACACGGUUCUUUUUCUUAAAUUACUCGUAGAUACAGAUACCUAGCAAAUGUACCUAAAAACCUAACUCGAAACGACCCUAUAAUGCGACGUAACAAACUCAGAAACUUCCCAACUCAGGCAAAUUCAGGAACAAUAUAUUAAUUCAAGAAUAGGCAUCAAGAUCAUCAAUAUUCAUAUGCUUUUAGGACGAAUCCAAACUGUAAUAAAUAUGCUUGGCACGUGGGAGAACGAUCCCAACGUUAUGAGAGCCUCACAUACCUGAUCGAAUCAAAUCCUUAGCGAAAACACCAACCUUCUUGAUGAUAUAGCCCCUUUCUUCUUCCUCUUUUCUCUUCUCCUUUCUCCUUAGCCCUAGCGUGGAAAUUCUGGUUUUCUAAAACUGACUAAGUUCUGAAUUUACCCAUAUUAAACCCCUAAAAUCGGAUUAAAAUAAUAAGGUAGCGAAAAGACUACAAUACCCUUUAAAAUCCCGGUUUUGGACAUUUCCUUAAUCCAACAGCCUAACUUCCAAAGGGCAUAACUUGCUCAUACAAACUCGGAAUCGCGCAAACUUGGCGGCGUUGGAAAGAUCAUUCCAAGUUUUUUCCAACCAUAUAUGGAAUUACACCUAAAUCAUCCUGAGCUAGGAGUUAUGGCCGUCUGAAGUUGACCAAAAAAUCAGCUUUAACUUACAAUUUUCCAGAUUUGCUUGUACUUUCCAAAAAUAACUAUUUCCAGAUUUUAAACUUCUUUCUAGUUCUUUCUAGUUGUGGGAUGUUAUAGGAGAUUAGCAGGUUAAUCUCAAGGUGUAAACUGCGUUUUGCUUUUGCUUGUGAAGAUUCGUGAAAGCAGUUUGAAAAGUCUUGUGAGACAGGUAGGGGUGUUCAUGGUUUGGAUGAAAACCGAUCCAAACCGAAAAACUGAACCAAACCGAUUAAAUAAACCAAUUUUUAUUUGGGUUAGGUGUGGUUCGGUUUUAUAUUUUUAAAAACCGAUAGUAUAUGGGUUGGUUAUGUGGUUUUGUUCAAAAAAACCAAAGAAAUAACCGAACCGAACCGACAAAUUAUAUACAUAUAUAUUAUUAAUAUACAUACAUAAUAUAUUAUUUUUAUAAACAAUUUUAAAGAUCUUAUAUGUGUUUUCAUCAAAAUUUAUUUAUAAUUUACUUAUGAAGGAAAAAAUGCCCAAGGUGAGGAUAUUUAUCUUAUUGAUUUUAUGUAUAUGAGUCUCCCGGAAACAGCCUCUCUACCUCCACGAGGUAGUGGCAAGGUCUGCGUACACUUUACCCUCCCCAGACCCCACCUAGUGGGAUUUCACUGGGCAUGUUGUUGUUGUUGAUUUUAUGUAUAUGAGUGUGUCUAUGACAAUUCUUUAUAAGAUUGAAAAUAUCACUUUCUCUUUCUUCUAAGCCAAAAUAAUGAAUUUUGAAGCUUUAGUUAGAGUAAAUUCAAUGAUUGAAAGUUCUGUAAUGUCAGUCAUUCUAACUAUUUUCAUUUUAAAUGGAUUGUUGUCACUUUUUUCAUGUUUUGAAUGAAUUAUUUCUUUUAUUUUGUCUAUGGUUAAUAACCGAAUAACCAAACCAAACCGAACCAAAACCGAUAACUACCAAACCGAUAAAUAUAUACUCCCUCUGUCCCAUUUUAUGUGGCACCAUUUCCUUUUUGGUCAGUCCCAAAAAGAAUGUCACAUUUCCUUAUAUGGUAAGUUUAUAAAGGUACAAUUCCUCUUUUAUCCUUGUUGGUCCCACUUAAUCUUAAAAUAAUACUCCAAUACAUUUAUGAGGAGAGAGAAAAAAAGUCUACUUUUUAAAGGGCAAUUUGGUAAACAUUUCAAAAUCUUCAUUUAUUUCUUAAACUCCGUGCCCGGUCAAAUGUUGCCACAUAAAAAUGGGACGGAGGGAGUACUAUAUUUGGUUUGGUUUGGUUUUGAUAAUUUUAAAACCGAUUAAGUUGGUUUGGUUUUGGUUUUGACCAAUAACCGAUCCAAACCGACCCGUGAAAACCUCUUGAGACAGGUCAUGGUUUUACUCCCUUGAGCAAGGAGGUUUCCACGUAAAACACUUGUGCAAAUCUUACUUCCAGUUGUUUAUUUUCUACACAUUUUUAGUUACUGUUCUUGCUGAGUCAAGGGACCUGGUCCUUGACUGAUAGUGGAUGCAUACAUUCCAACAAGUGGUAUCAGAGAUUGACUUUUCUAACUGGUUAACAACAAGAAAAGAAAAGAUCUUGAAGGAAUGGCUGCACCACUAAACAGGCAGAGAAGUUAGUCCCCUGUAAGACCUCCUCUUUUUGAUGGUCAGUUCUAUAGACACUAGAGGAUUCGAAUAAGAGACUAUCUUAUAGCUGAGGACGUUGAGGUAUGGGACGUCAUACAAAAAGGUCCUUACGUGCCAACCAUUGAGAUUAAGGAUGGAGAGAUCACUAGAGUCAUUAUCAAAACUCGUCAACAAUAUAAUGACUCCGAUAAAAAACUUGUCCAGAAAAAUUAUAAAACCAAAAAAUUGCUGAUGUGCGCCAUUUGAAUGAACAAAUACGAUCUGAUCUCAUCGUGCGAAUCAACCAAAGAAAUUUGGGAUCUACUGAGAAUACCUAUGAUGACAUUGAGGAAACAAGGAAAUCUAAGCUAGAUUUCUUACUGCUGAGUUCGAAAGUUUCACCAUGAGAGAAAGUGAAUCUGUUCAUGAAAUGAGCAAAAGAUUCUCCACCGUUACAGACGAGCUCAUGCUCCUUGAAAAACCAGUGCCCAUGUGCAAGCAAGUCUCCAAGAUACUGGAAAUUCUUCCCAAAUCUUGGACAAAUGACCUUGUGAUCAGCAAUGAGACAAGAGAGCUUGAAGUAGUGACAUUGUGUACACUAUUUGAGCAUCUUCAAGAUCAUGAGAUGCACAGAAAAGGAAAGGGUCUAAGUCUCAAGGGUGAAGACAAAGAGGGGGACCAGGUUCGUGACAAUCUAAGCAGAAAAUAGACCUUUUUCUAGGCAGUAAAAAAGGAUAUGGCAGCAUGGAAAAAUUCCUCAAGUGAUUCAGAUGAUUCUAAACACUCUAAUGAUGCUCUCAUGGCAAAAUCAAAUGAGGAAGAUGAUGAUGAAAAGAUAACUCUAUCAUAUUUCAAGCAAAACUUGAAUACUUUUUCUACCAGUAAAUUGAGAAAGCUAGUUGUUGUACUACUUGAUUUGAUAAGUGAGCUAACAACUGAGAAUGAUCUCGUGAACAAUAGUCUAGAUAUCUCUCAAGAUGGAAAAAUUGCUUUAGUUGCCCAAAUAUCUGAUAUUGAAUAUCAAAUGGUUGUUCUAGAAGUUGAAAAUCUAGAACUGAAAGAAAAGAUGAAAGAGGUAACUAAUACAGUUUCUAAAGGAAAGAACGAGGCAAACAGCUUGCAGCUGGAGCUUGAAAAUAAGCUGUAUACUACUGAAAUGAAGAUGGAAUUGGCUUUAGAAAGAAAUCUUGAGUUGGAAAGGGACCUGGUCCGUGUAAAAGAGGAACUUGAAAAAUCCCUCAAAUUGAACAAUUCCUCUAUGAUCCUUACAAAUCUACUUGGUCAAGGAAACAACAGUAAAAGAGGGGUGGGCUGCGAAAAGAUCUUUCCCCCAUACAAUCCUCACAACAAAUCUGUUUAUGAUGCUGAUGAUCUGAUGUGUGUGCAUUGUGGUCAAGAUAGACAUCUUAAGAGAGAUUGUCCUGUGUUGAAAAAGUAUGGAAGAAGUUCGUCAAACUAUUCCAAACAGCGGAAUAGACUGAAGAAGGGACAUGGUCCUUCUUAUGGUCCUAAGUUGAAGAAAAGCAGUAUGGCUCAUUGGACAAAAGAUUUUAUUAUCACUCCGUUAUCUGCUUACUGGGAACUCUGUCUCAAAUGGGUUCCCAAGGCUAAUAAGUGAUUUGAUAUGCAAGUGAGAGAAAGUAGUAACAGUCAGUGUUGGUUUAUGAAUAACGGAUGCUCAAAGCACAUGACUAAGAAGGCUACACAACUUCCUCUCUCUCAAAGCACUUCAAGGUAGAGGUGUCUCUUUUGGCAAAUGGCAAGAAAUGGUAUGUUCUUGGUGUAGGUAUGACUUGAAAGUCUGUGAAACAUUCUUUUUAAAUUGUGUACUAUGUCAAUGGUUGAAGUACAAUAUUUUAAGUGUUUGACAGAUUUGUGAUGAAUGAAAUAAAGUUAAGCUCUUAUAAGAUAACUGUGGUGUCAGAAACUUGCUCUCUCGGGUGAUGAUCUUGACAUAAAAGAAAUGCAAGAACAUGUAUAUUACGGAUCUAAAUAUUGCUCGUGGUGACUGUCUAACUUGCCUUAGUGCUCAAGGUAAGAAUGUUGAGGUAUGACACAAGAGACAUGCUCAUGUGAGUGCUUCUCUACUGCAUAAACUUUUGUCAAAGGACCUGAUGCUCGAUCUGCUCAAAAUGAAAUUUGCAGAUGGCAAAGGUUGUGAUUGUGGUGUUGAAGAGAAGCAGAUCAGACCAUCCUUCAGGUGGAAUAAACAUGCUUUCAAUCUUUCAAAAAACUUUCGGGCUGAAGUGGUGAACACUACAUGUUUUGUGACCAAAAUGAUGAUAUUGAGAAGUUUGAUCUCAAUAUUGAUGAAAGAAUAGUUGUGGUAUACUCUUUUGCCAACAAGGCUUAUCGGGGUGUCUAAAAAGGUGGUCAUGUGAAUUUUUUAUGAAUCUGGAAGAGUUGAGAAGUUGCAAAAGAAAGAAGAUUGUGACAUGGAAGGGUUGCUUCAAAUUCAGAGAGACGGUUUUAAUAAUGAGCUUGCUGAAGAAUAUCCUCUUCAUGAAUACAACAAUCUCAAGGAAGCUAUGCAGAUGAUGAACCUGAUGAGGGACCUGGUCCAUUAGGCAGUGCUGAACAAAGAUGGUGCAAUUCAAACUGAUAAUGUGAAUUCUGAAGGUGAGAAUGAAGAAGCUGAUCAAGCUCAAUUUGAAAGAAGCAAAGUAUAACACUCGGUUCCCCAACAAGCUGAUAGGUUAUCCAAAUUCCUCCUCAACAAUGGCUUCAAAAGAGGUAAAAUUGACAAAACCCCUUUUGAAAUCACAAGGAAAGAAAUUGUUGAUUAUUCAAGUACAUAUUGAUGAUGUCAUCUUUGAAGCAACCUUUGAGGUAUUGUGUGAAGAGUUUGUUGCACUCAUGAAUAGUGAGUUUGAAGUAAGCAAAAUGGAAGAAUUAAAUUUCUUCUUAGAGCUACAGAUUUAGCAAACCUCUAAAGGUACCCUCGGUUGUCCAGAAAAGUACAUAAAUGAGUUUCUCAAAUGACUUAACAUACUUGAAGUCAAGACAAUGAUAAAGAGGGGUAAUGUCAUCAUGAAGUUUUGCAAAAUGAAAGAUCAAGUGGAUGACAUCUUCACCAAAGCCCUAGAAAGGACCAGUUGUAUACACUCAUAGAGACUUAGCUACAGGGAAAAAGAUAGCACAUCGUUCAGGGGAAUUGAUGUUUGAUCAAAGACUGGGACCUGGUACCGGUUCAAAGAAGCAGCUGAAAAAGUUUCAUGUUAUGGAUGCCUAGACAAUUCAUACUCCCAUGGGCACUAACUUGCUGUUGGAUGCUGAUGAACCUGGUUCAGAGACUCCAUUCUUGUAGAAAUGAAUCACAUUUGAGGGCUACUAAGAGAAUCCAAAGACACUUGAAGAAAACAAGGACUUGGUUCUAUUCUGUCCACCAUGAGCCUUUUUGAUUUGGAGGAACAUAUGAUGUUGAUUAUGCUGGGUAUCGAGUUGAUGGAAAGAGUACCUCAGGAGUGGCUUAUGUUAUUGGCUGAUCUCUCACUCAUAGGGAACUAAAAGGAAAGAUUCAUUUGCUCUUUCAACAACUGAGGCAGAGAAUGUAGCAACUGCAGCUUGAUGUGCUCAAUCUUGUUGAUCAAGCAGCACGUUGGAGCUCUUAGAAGACCUGGCUGAGAUAAUCAAACUGAAGUUGGCAAUGCUGAAACCUUAUUGAACAGAACCUUUCUGAAGCAAUCAACCCUCACAUGACUAUGCAAAGGGAACAAGUAUCCUUGCUUUUCAGUUAUAUAUGUUUUAGCAAAUUCAGUUUCAUACCUUUUGUAGGUAUACACACAUGGAGAAAGGGCUGAAGGAAAGGAGAAGUCAGGACAGAUCUAGGCAAUCAUAUUCAAACUACAGAGAGGGACCUGGUCCGUUCUCGAAGGUUAGCACUCUUAACAUUGCAUUUUGAAUUAUGCAUGAGAACUAUUGAAAUUGCCACAUGUCUGUCAUUCAGGUAUCUGACUACUACCUCAUCUUUUGAAUACCAAUGACACUUCCUUUCACAUGAUACACCCGUUUCAUUUUCUUUAUAUUCCAUAUUUCUUUCCAUCUCCCCAGAAAAUUCAAUUUCCCUUCCAAAUAGCAGAGUUUUUCGAAACUCUCUUUUCUCCUCUCUCAAAAACACUUCAAAUUGUUAAACCCUUUGUUCUUAUUGGAGAAUUUUUUGAUGAAGAUGUGUUUAAGUGUGAAGGGGACCAGGUCCACCAAUCAAAAGGAAGAAGUGGAAAAGAUGAUGUUCAAAAGGGAGAAGUUGAUAUUCUGAGAACUCAAAGUAUUCUGAAAAGGAGGGUGUCUGUUUUUUUUUAAAAAUAAUGAAAAAAAAUGUUUGAAAUGAAAUUUUCCUUUUUGGUUCCUCAAUUAUUGAUCUAUUCAUCUCGAAGGCCUUGAGUAAGUUUGAUUUUACUAAUCUUUCUGUUAUGAGAAACUCAGACUAGUGUUGGAAGCUAUGACAAUUGCUCUUGCUAAUAGGGAUACUAAAACGGUUUGCCUAAAGGCUUAGCUUCUAAAAAAACACUAUCAGAGGGAUCAGGUUGAAAAAAAAAACUGGCAGCCUUGAAGGUUCUGCAUGAAGACUGGCAGUAAAGCAUGUUGAACUUUAAGACAAAUUCUAAAAAAAAAAACAUGCUAAGGGAUAUGAUCUACUAAUUCUAUUCUUUCAAUCCCUUGAUGCUAAGUCAUCCCCUCUCUUCCUAAAUUCUCAUGUCAGUCCUCAUUCUUCUUUUUCUAUCGAAACUGAGUAGGCAUUGUCUGGUUCUCAUUCGUAAUGAUAUGUGCAAUGCUUUGAUUGCUGAUCUUGUAUUUAUGAAUGACAAAUGCCUUGUUUCUACUGCCUUGUCUCAUUACUUUAUGCAUUUUUACUCAUGCUCAGUGUUGCCCAAGUGGCCAUGAAUUUGCUUGAACUGUAUUUCUAUCAACUUGGUUUACUGCUUUAACCCCUUUUUAUGAUGUCAAAAGGGGGAAAAAUUGUUAAGGUAUGAGAUCAAUGAUGUUAGAUACUUGAAGAGGACAUAGUCAUGCCGAUAGGGGGAAUAAAUGUAGCACUUGAAGAGGACAUGGUCAUGUCGAUAGGGGGAAUAAAUACUAGCUACUUGAAGAGGACAUGGUCAUGUCGAUAGGGGGAAUAAAUACUAGCUACUUGAAGAGGACAUGGUCAUGUCGAUAGGGGGAAUCAAUGCUACUUGAACAACACAUGGUCAUGUUGCUGAUAAGGGGAAGAAGUUGAACAAGUUUGUCAUCAUCAAAAAGGGGGAAAAUGCUAUUUUGAUGUUUUGAUGAUUUGACAAACUUUCAGGAUAAUGAAACUCCAGUUACUUGAAGAGUUCUUGUUGAUAGGGGGAACUAGUGAAUAAGUCUGCUAUCAUCAAAAAGGGUGAAAAUGUUAUUUUGGUGCUGAUGCUAAGUUUUGAUGAUUUAACAAACUUAGAGAUCUAACAAGGAACCAGAUCCUUGUUAUUAGGACUGAUGACAGUGAAUUGAAUGAAUAAACUCAGUGUGAGGAAUAUUUGUGUGUAAUAAUCAAAAAGGGGGAAAAUGUUAUAUUCUAGGUGUUUUGAUGAUCCUCACAAAUGCAGGGACUUGGUCCCUGGCAGAGUCCUCUCGUCUAGAUUCAAAUGGGGUACACUGUAAAGCUGUCACGUCAGGUGGUAGGUGAAAAAUGCAGUAAGCGUAGUGUACUACACCAAUACGAAGAGUGGACGAGACUAUCUGUUUCAGUGUCUCACAAAUGCAGGGACCUGGUCCCUGGCUGAGUUCUCUCGUCCAGAUCUAUAUGUGGUACAACUGGAAAGUUUUCACGUCAGAAGUUGGUGAGGUCAUCAGUGUACUACACCAAUCAGAAUCGACGAGGUUGUUGUCCAACGGUCAAUAACUUCUUAUGGUUGACUUAGUUAACAUGACAAACAAGAAAUUAAUUCAUUCAUUCAAAAGGAGAGAGAGCCAACACGUCUUCUCAAGAACUUACUAAGAAAAGUCUAUAAGGGACCUGGUCCCUACAAGACUGUGUACGUGAAAGGAAGAUAGUACAACUGUAAAGCUAUCACUUCUGAUGUGACAGGUGCACGUCUUUAAAGAGAAGGCAGGCUCUCAGCCAAUGGGCAGUCCCAAGGAGUUUGUGGUCAUUUUAAUAUAGUCUCUUCCAACAAAACACAAACUCAAGAUUUGGCAAGCUAAAACUCACAAGCAAAAAAAAGAAGAAAGCCAUCUCCAAGGAAGAACUCAAGCACAAGAACACAUACAACAAGGACCUGAUCAACAGAAAGAGUGUUUUCCGUACCAACUAUUGUUCUUGAUUGUUUGUAUUUGUACUUAACUUGUAGGAUUCGUUUCACUCUUGUUAGAAAUGUUUCAAAACUUUGUUUUGAGUCUUGUAAGAACAUAGUUAGGGGUAACUUUGUGUCUUACGGUCAAAAGUCUAUAUUAAUCAGUGAGGGUUAGUAUAGUGAGCAGUGUUGUACAUGCUUAGGCUCGGUUGAGUAAUAGGUGAUAUUACUUAGUGUGGAGAUUAGAAGGUUAAUCUCAAGUUAUAAACUGCGUUUUACUUUUGCUUGUGAAGAUUAGUGAAAGCAGUUUGAAAAGUCCUGUGAGACAAGUCGUGGUUUUACUCCCUUGAGCAAGGAGGUUUNNNNNNNNNNNNNNNNNNNNNNNNNNNNNNNNNNNNNNNNNNNNNNNNNNNNNNNNNNNNNNNNNNNNNNNNNNNNNNNNNNNNNNNNNNNNNNNNNNNNNNNNNNNNNNNNNNNNNNNNNNNNNNNNNNNNNNNNNNNNNNNNNNNNNNNNNNNNNNNNNNNNNNNNNNNNNNNNNNNNNNNNNNNNNNNNNNNNNNNNNNNNNNNNNNNNNNNNNNNNNNNNNNNNNNNNNNNNNNNNNNNNNNNNNNNNNNNNNNNNNNNNNNNNNNNNNNNNNNNNNNNNNNNNNNNNNNNNNNNNNNNNNNNNNNNNNNNNNNNNNNNNNNNNNNNNNNNNNNNNNNNNNNNNNNNNNNNNNNNNNNNNNNNNNNNNNNNNNNNNNNNNNNNNNNNNNNNNNNNNNNNNNNNNNNNNNNNNNNNNNNNNNNNNNNNNNNNNNNNNNNNNNNNNNNNNNNNNNNNNNNNNNNNNNNNNNNNNNNNNNNNNNNNNNNNNNNNNNNNNNNNNNNNNNNNNNNNNNNNNNNNNNNNNNNNNNNNNNNNNNNNNNNNNNNNNNNNNNNNNNNNNNNNNNNNNNNNNNNNNNNNNNNNNNNNNNNNNNNNNNNNNNNNNNNNNNNNNNNNNNNNNNNNNNNNNNNNNNNNNNNNNNNNNNNNNNNNNNNNNNNNNNNNNNNNNNNNNNNNNNNNNNNNNNNNNNNNNNNNNNNNNNNNNNNNNNNNNNNNNNNNNNNNNNNNNNNNNNNNNNNNNNNNNNNNNNNNNNNNNNNNNNNNNNNNNNNNNNNNNNNNNNNNNNNNNNNNNNNNNNNNNNNNNNNNNNNNNNNNNNNNNNNNNNNNNNNNNNNNNNNNNNNNNNNNNNNNNNNNNNNNNNNNNNNNNNNNNNNNNNNNNNNNNNNNNNNNNNNNNNNNNNNNNNNNNNNNNNNNNNNNNNNNNNNNNNNNNNNNNNNNNNNNNNNNNNNNNNNNNNNNNNNNNNNNNNNNNNNNNNNNNNNNNNNNNNNNNNNNNNNNNNNNNNNNNNNNNNNNNNNNNNNNNNNNNNNNNNNNNNNNNNNNNNNNNNNNNNNNNNNNNNNNNNNNNNNNNNNNNNNNNNNNNNNNNNNNNNNNNNNNNNNNNNNNNNNNNNNNNNNNNNNNNNNNNNNNNNNNNNNNNNNNNNNNNNNNNNNNNNNNNNNNNNNNNNNNNNNNNNNNNNNNNNNNNNNNNNNNNNNNNNNNNNNNNNNNNNNNNNNNNNNNNNNNNNNNNNNNNNNNNNNNNNNNNNNNNNNNNNNNNNNNNNNNNNNNNNNNNNNNNNNNNNNNNNNNNNNNNNNNNNNNNNNNNNNNNNNNNNNNNNNNNNNNNNNNNNNNNNNNNNNNNNNNNNNNNNNNNNNNNNNNNNNNNNNNNNNNNNNNNNNNNNNNNNNNNNNNNNNNNNNNNNNNNNNNNNNNNNNNNNNNNNNNNNNNNNNNNNNNNNNNNNNNNNNNNNNNNNNNNUUCAGUGUCUCACAAAUGCAGGGACCUGGUCCCUGGCUGAGUUCUCUCGUCCAGAUCUAUAUGUGGUACAACUGGAAAGUUUUCACGUCAGAAGUUGGUGAGGUCAUCAGUGUACUACACCAAUCAGAAUCGACGAGGUUGUUGUCCAACGGUCAAUAACUUCUUAUGGUUGACUUAGUUAACAUGACAAACAAGAAAUUAAUUCAUUCAUUCAAAAGGAGAGAGAGCCAACACGUCUUCUCAAGAACUUACUAAGAAAAGUCUAUAAGGGACCUGGUCCCUACAAGACUGUGUACGUGAAAGGAAGAUAGUACAACUGUAAAGCUAUCACUUCUGAUGUGACAGGUGCACGUCUUUAAAGAGAAGGCAGGCUCUCAGCCAAUGGGCAGUCCCAAGGAGUUUGUGGUCAUUUUAAUAUAGUCUCUUCCAACAAAACACAAACUCAAGAUUUGGCAAGCUAAAACUCACAAGCAAAAAAAAGAAGAAAGCCAUCUCCAAGGAAGAACUCAAGCACAAGAACACAUACAACAAGGACCUGAUCAACAGAAAGAGUGUUUUCCGUACCAACUAUUGUUCUUGAUUGUUUGUAUUUGUACUUAACUUGUAGGAUUCGUUUCACUCUUGUUAGAAAUGUUUCAAAACUUUGUUUUGAGUCUUGUAAGAACAUAGUUAGGGGUAACUUUGUGUCUUACGGUCAAAAGUCUAUAUUAAUCAGUGAGGGUUAGUAUAGUGAGCAGUGUUGUACAUGCUUAGGCUCGGUUGAGUAAUAGGUGAUAUUACUUAGUGUGGAGAUUAGAAGGUUAAUCUCAAGUUAUAAACUGCGUUUUACUUUUGCUUGUGAAGAUUAGUGAAAGCAGUUUGAAAAGUCCUGUGAGACAAGUCGUGGUUUUACUCCCUUGAGCAAGGAGGUUUCCACGUAAAAUACUUGUGCAAAUCUUACUUCCAGUUGUUUAUUUUCUGCACAUUUUUAGUUACUGUUCUUGCUGAGUCAAGGGACCUGGUCCUUGACUGAUAGUGGAUGCAUACAUUCCAACAGUUCACAUACAGGAUCAUUGUUCAAUGGGGACCAACUUCAUAGAAAUUUCCAGCAAAUUUAUUGUGUUCACAAAGAGUAAAGACUUUGCCUAUUUUCAGCCUCUAUAGGAAACUUGUUAUAAACUUCCUAAUUCAUGACAUAAAAAUGUUCCUUUUUUCAGUAUUGCACUGAUAAAUUAAACAAAUGAACAACAAAUUGAUACCUUUCUGUAAAUUGAUAUAAAUUCGUUGCCUUACCUGAGAAUUUGCUGUCAAGUUGUAUUUUGGUCCAAAAAUGCAUUCGCCGUCAAUAUUUGGUCCAAAAUGCCUUAUUGUUAUUUAAUGGGUCAAAAAUGCUCAUUUUCCAAAUUAAUAUAUUAGUAUUUUCUUUUGAUACAUUUUUUUCUAAUAAUGUUUUUAUAAAAAAAUUAGCAAAUGUUUAUCUUACUUCAAUUCAGAAAAAAAAAAAUGAAAAUAUUUCUUAUUUUUUUAUCAUUAAUUUUUAUUGUUAUAUAAAUAUAAAUUAAUAAUGGAUAUACUCUGAUCUUAUAUAUAUGACACAUAUUAUCUGUCGAAAGGGUACAUUCUAUUUUAAUUGAUAAAAUGAGAUUCAGAAGAAAAAAAUAUUUCCUACAUUUUAUUUGUUAAAGUGAUUUUUAGAAGAAAGAAAACAAGAAUAGUGUUCUUUAAUAAUAUUUUAAUUAGGAAUAAGAUGUGUUUAAAAAGAAAAAAAUAAUAUAUUUAUUCAGAAAAGGGCAUUUUUGAACCAUUUUGUAACUAUAGGGGCAUUUCUGGAUCAAAGUAUUGACUGCAGGGGCAUUUUUUAGCCAAAGUAUUGACGAUAAGGAUAUUUUUGAGCCAAACUAUAAACUGAGGGCAUUUUUGUUCCUUUCACAUAGUUUAAGGGAAUUUUUGACCCUUUUCCCUUUAUUCAAUCGUUGUUGUAUUUUUAUGUUUUUUUUUCUAUUUUCACUAUUUAUAGUUUUUCUUUUGUCCUUUUGGCUACAGACUUUAUGUAAGAGUUUUUUUUUUCUUACUCCCUGUUUCGUACCCAUAGUAAAGCCCAAUUAUUGUGGAGUCAUACCAUGUAGGGCCCCAUUCGAGGGGGAAAAGCAGGAAAACGCUUUGUACGAAUGAUUGACAAGCUGACGAAGUUUGUCCGGUUUUAACGUUUUCUUUAAUAGUGUUUAUUAGCAAUAAACAAGCGUUUUUUUACUCGUAUUGAAGAUGAGUUUUUUUUUUUAAUUAUCCGUAUUGAGUUAAAUUAAAAAUUAGAAAGUGAGUAUUUGUGUUAAAUCAAGAUAGCCGGGAUGAUAUGAAAUAAACAAAAAUACGUGGUGUUAUUUAAUUUAAUUGAAUGUUUAAGAAAGAAAAUUGAAGCACUUUCGUCGGUUAUUAUACAUGAAAAAAUACAUAAAAAAAUCUCAAAAAAUAUCAUAUCAAGGUUCAUACAUUAAUUUUUAUUUUUUUAAAAGGAAACUAACGAACACAAGUUAUAUUGACAAACACCAACUAAAGUCGCAUACCCUUGUGCAUAGGACUCAAUUAUUUUUAAUAAGUAUAAAUUUUCAAAUUAAAAAUGUCUCUCCAAAUACAAAUAACCUUUUUCAUAUAAACAGACCUUUGCCUCACUCAUUGCUUCUUCUUUUCUUUUUUCUAUGACCGCUAUCAUCACUCAUUGCUUCCUGUUCAUACACCAGCCGAAUUCCCCAGCAUGCUUCUUUGGUCUCCGGCCAGAACAUGUGAGAAAACUCCAACAUGUAAUAAUCAUUUGGAUUCUUCCCUUCUUUAUUGCCAGAAGCAUUCCACAAUGUUUCAAAUGGUAUGUAGACGCAACAUAUGAAAGGAUACUUGGACACCAUAUUUUCAUGGAAGCUGUUGUUAGACUUCAAGGAAUAUUUUCUUUCAGGGUCACAUUUGCAGACCAAUGUAGCUUCUAAUCUUAUGUACUUUGUAGUAGGACCGUAGGUUAUCCAAAAACCCAUGAAUUUAUUGGUAUACCAAGAUGGAUUCAGAUCAAUUGACAUCUUUUCUUGAUUUAUAAACGGACAAUCAUAAUCGAACAACUCUGAAAUUCUGACUCUGGGAAAAUUAAUGAGAAAAUAAUCCCUUUGAUGGAAGUCACACUGCAUGCAAUAGAAUAGAGAUUAUUAUUACUACUAGAAACCAAUUAGACAAGAAUAUUCAACAUUCAUAUAUGAGAUAAAAACCUGGAUGCAUGUCCUGAGAAAAUGCUGUAGGAACACAUUAACUUGUUCACUUGAGACGGCUCCACAGUCGGAUAUUACGAGCCAAUACAGCUUAAGACAAUUAAUUACGAGAUCUUUGAUGCUCUUCAAGGCUAAAUGAUAAUCUGCUAAUAGCUCCCUUAAAUUUGGGGGUAGCUCUCCUGGCAGUUCAUUAAGAUUCUGACAGAAUUGUAUGUUCAGAUGCUGAAGGUGUAAGAGUCCUUUAAAGCUUUUUGGUAAACAAGAAAUAUUGCUUCCACUUAAACGCAAGCUUGUCAAAGAGUGCAAAGAUCCUAAAUCCUCAGGAAGUCCCCACAAGCAUAACACUUUCAGUUUCCCAAGCUUGGUGAUGGAGAGAGGUGGUUGGUAUAUUGCAGUUUCGCCCGCAUCAAACAUACGUAACUCUUGCAAAUCACCCAUGUUUUCUGGAAGCUUCUCUAACUUUUUGCACCCUCUGAGGAAAAGAUAUUGAAGAUUCAUCAAAUUACAGAGGCUGUCUGGUAGACUUACAAGAUCUUCACAACCUGACAGAUUUAGAGAAAUGAGGCUAAGCAGAUUCCCAAUGAAUGAAGGUACUUCUCUUAUCCCUGUAGAACUCAGAUUCAGAUUUUUCAAGUAAUGCAUAUCUCCUUUGAUUUCUGGAAAUGUAUCUAAUUUUGGGGAAUUAGAUAUCAUGAGUUUUUGAAGGGAUUCCAUCUGAAUAGAGCUUGGAAGCUUCUUUAAGUUCUCACAUGAAUCUAACUCUAACAAACAGAGAUUCUUUUGAACUCCAAGAGAUAUGGGGAGCUUUACCAAUCCAGAACAUCGGUGUAUUUCAAGAUAUUUCAAUUGCUGUGAUUCAAAGAGGUUGUUUGGCAGUGUUGCAAGUUUAUUGCAACCUGAAAUUCUGAGAUCACUAAGAUUUCGAAUAGUGUCUGGAAUACUUUCAAGAAUUUCACAAUCAUCCAAUCGCAACUCUCUAAGGCCGCUGAGAGACGGGGGUAAGCUUCUUAUCCAGGGGGAUCCUAGAUAGAGUAUUGAUAAGUGCCGCAUAUCUCCACAGAUUUCUGGAAAUUCUUCAACGCUUGUGCAACUACUGAGAUUGAGAAUCACAAGAGAUUCCAUGCAGACAAAUUUUGGAAGCUUCUUAAGUUUGCAACAAAAACACAAACUCAAAGCAGUAAGCAUUCUGCAAUGUCCAAGAGAGGGAUGGACCUCUUUCAAAUUCACACACCCCUUUAAAUAUAGUGUCUCCAAGAUUGGCAUAUCACCAAAAUUAGGGGUUUUUGUUAACCCAAGGCUUUCGCGUAGAUCCAAAUACUUCAAAUUGCUGAAUUUCUGUAUUCAUUUAAAAAAAAAAAAACCCAGUUAACUUAAGUAGUACUCCUAAUAGAAAUAUUUUGUGACCAACUAGGGUUGUGGUGGAGUGAUAAGUACUCCUUCAUCCUUAACCAAGAGGUCUCGGGUUUGAGCACCCUUGGGUAUGGAGUCGCCUUUGUUAGGGAGCGCUUUACCCCCCAAUGUAGGACUUCCCAACGCGAAUCCGGAUUUAGUCGGGCUCCAAUGUGGGUACCGGACACCGGAUGGGAAAAAAACAAAGGUUAUUAUGAUCAUUGAAGGAUGUAGAAAAUGCGGAAAAGAGGGAGUCCCACGUAACUCUAUCCACCAAAGCUAGAAUAGAUGGAAAGAAAUCACCUAGUGUUUUUGUCUUUUCUGGGAUUUGAACCUGAGAUCUCAUAGUGCUCAAUCCACUUCUUUGAUUGGGUGCACUUGCAAGUUCUUUAUUAGGUAGAUAUAAUUGCAGGAAGUAAACUACUACACAAUUAUAAAUCCAAAGAUUCAACAAUAUUAUACAUUAUGACUGUGAUGAAGUACUUCAUUUAUAUCGUGAAUGUCAACAAAGUUAGGUUCCACCUAAAUAUGUUGAAUAUUAAAUUGGGAAAAGAAAGGUGAUGAAAAGAGAGAGGGAGAGAUUAUAUAUUUGAUUUUGUGAUGAAUUUUGUACUUGUAAGAACAAAAUUUUAACUUACAAGUGACUGAUAACCAAAAAUAAAUAAAAAUUUGUUGUUAAUUGUGUAUAUCAGAACAUUUAUUUAAAGUAGCAUUUAAAUCAUGGAUGGAUUAAUUUACAUGCAUUGACCUAUCAAAGCAUUUAUUUCAACCUCAUUAUAUACAUUAUGUUAUAUAAUUACAACUAUUUGUUUAGAAUUAUUAUUCCAUUAUUCUGUACAAGAACUUUGCAACAACUCCAGUUGAUGUCUAAUAUUUGUAAGAGAGUGUUACCUUUGAUAUUGGCCAAAGUUCCACAAGCCUACUUUCACAUAAACAAAGCACAACAAGCUGUGAUGGUUCAAAGCUCUCUGGCAAUGAAAUUGAAGAAUACCCCAGCCAAUCAAUAAACCGCAAGCUGGAAGGAAGAUAAGUGAUAGCGCAGUUUGAGCUAAAAGUUCCAUUACCAACUAUGAGUAUUUGUAAGCUUUGCAUCCUCUUAAAAAUAUUGCUGUAAUCGACAAAAUCAUCUUCAUAAUAGUAAUCGUUUGGGAUACGUAGACAUUGCACCUUUUCUGUUAUCUGUAAAUAAUGAAACAUAUAUUAAUGGCUAAAAAAUAAAAAUGAAACAAAAAAAAUUAACUUUGAGCUUACGAAAUUAUUAAUUACGUUAAAUAUUGCUUACCAACUUUUCUGUAAAAAGGUCACAAACUUCCUCGGGAAGCCAUAUUCUGCUGUUAGCAUACUCUUCCCAUAUGACAUUUUCUCCCAUUUCUCUUAUCAUAUUAUGCAUCACAAUACUAUUAUUCAGGUCAAUGGAUAACAGAGAUUUUUCGAUAAGGUAAUCUAUUAGAAAACCACGACUCGCAUCUCUCUGUACUAGUUCCACAUAAAGAUGAAAAUUACAUCUAGUCAAGCAUGCAAUAUCCAUAAAUGUAAUAUCUAGAAAUAAAUCCUUCUCAUCUUUGUCCAGACCAUCAAAACUAAGCCUAAUGUCACGGACUUAGAGUGUUGGCUAAAGUUCCGUGCGGCCCUUGACAAUUUACUCACUAUUCUUUCAAGAUCUUGUAAACUCAAGGAAGCCUUUAAGACUUAGAUCGCUAAGAGAAUGCUUUAAGGAAGACUUGGAAAGAUCAAAGAAGAGAGUUUUGGAAGAAGGCUUUUGUAUUGCUUGGAGAAUGCUUACACUUGCUUGGAUGCCUUGCAAAUGAAUGGCACCACCUAUUUAUACUAACUCCUAGGGACUAAAGUACAAUUUUAAAUUACUUCCUAAGUCCCUAAACUUAUUUACACUUUGGUCCUCUUUCUAGAGAAUUCUACACUUUCUAAGAUUUUCCCAAGACUUCUUAGAAAAUAUCUAGUCCCUCUCUAGAAUUCUCUACAUACUCUAGGACCUUCCAAAACCUUCUUGAAAUAUCCAAAGGGUUCUAGAGUCUUCCGGAAACCUCUCCACAACUCUAGACCCUUCCGCCCCUAUCCGGACGCCCAAAAUUCUACCGCGAAGUGGCGGGACGUGACACUCUCCCCCACCUAUUGAUGCGACGACCGCGUCGCAUUGCCGCUACAUCGUCAUCCGAGCCUUGUGCGUGCGCGACCAAUAGUCCAUUGACUCGAUUAAGGCCUUUGCGCAAUGCCUUCAGCGUCUUCCAUAUCGCUUCUAGCUCGGUCUUCUGGUCUACCUCCUUCCUAGGAGGCAAGCGCCUCGGCGGCUUCUUUGGCAUCACAGCAUUGUUCCCUUUUGGAACUUUCUUCGCAUGUGGCGGUGGGGACCUUCUUGCACCAUUGUCCUUCUUCGAACUUGCAAUGGUGGCUCUAGACGUCGACUCCUUCUUCUUGGGGCCUCUUAUGACCUGCAUGGCCGUUAGUCGUACUUGUCCUUCCGUCUUUGGUACCUUGACCAUGGGUACCAUGCAUGAUCUUCCUUGCUCCAUGACUAGAAGUCGUUGGAGGUAAGGGUCGAUCACCGCGUGGCACUGCUGGAAGAACUCCUGCCCAAGAAUUAUGUCAAAAAGAUCUACAGGAGCGACAGUGAAGUUGGUCUUACCUUGCCACUCGCCCAGCGUGAUGCUUGCUCCAUGUGCAACUCCACUCACAGGAGUCGGGGGUGCAUUGACCGUCUUGAGUUGGGCGCUGCUUGGACCGUAACUCAGCCCCAACCUCAUUGCUGCCUUCUUGGUCAUGAGAUUGACCUCUGCACCCGUGUCGACCAAAGCACAAGCGGGCUUUCCAUUGAUCUUAAGGUCGACAUACUGCGCGCCGCUUCCCUUGGCUUUUCUGGCUGCUUCGUGAUGGCCCCGCAUAGACUUAUUAAGCCUAACUGCGUUGUCCCUUCACCUUGUCCUUGCUCCUGGGCGUCUUUCUCCUUCUGUUCUCGCAGGAUAGCACCAAGGCUCUUCAGUUCAGGGCACUUUGCGUAACCAUGCGGCCCGCCGCAUAUGUAGCAGCCACCUUUGUUGGCAACCUCUAUCUUCUUCCGUGUUGCCAUGACGUCCAGACUUCUUGCCAUCGGACUUGUAGGUGUCAUGCUUCUUAGGAUGUGGCCACUGCUCCUCGCCUUUGCCACGAUCUCCCCCACCAUGGUCAUGACUACCUCUUGCUUCCUCUCCUCUGGCUCUGUCGGGCUUCUCCUGCCUGAAGUCUGUCAAAGCUUCGGCCUGCGUGAUGGCUUCAUCUAUGGUCCUGACUUGCCGACGUUCCAACUCCGUCCUGGCCCAAUUUUGCAGCCCAUCCAUGAAGUGGAACAACAUAUCAUCAUCCAUGAGGUUAGGAAUUUGAAACGUGAGGGUAGUGAACUCCUGCACAUAUGCGCGGAUGCUACCCGUUUGCUUCAGCUCCCUAAACUUGCGUUUCGCCUCAUAGAUGACGUUGUUAGGGAAGAAGGCUUUCUUGAACUCCUCUCGGAAUUGUUCCCAGGUGUUGAUGAUCUCGUCACUCUUCACCCGAUUACACUUGAAGUAGUUCUCCAAGUGCCACAAAAAGUUCUCCACCUCUUGAGCGUCACGGACGCCUUUAAACAUUGGUGGCUUGGGAGCCUCGACCCUGGCCUCCCUAUCUCGGUCAAGCGACGAUGAUCCUCCAACUGCCCCACCUUCCUUGAGUGCUUUCAUCUCGGCCUUCAUGGUCUCAAUCGUGCUCAAUGCCUCCAUGAGCCGACACUCCAAGGAAGUGAUAGCCUCCUUCAUCUCAAACUCGGCCCGCUGACGUCCCUCCAACUCCUUACGGAUGUUUUCGGUCUCCUCAAGGGUGAAGUCCUCAAGAGUCUUGAAUUUGCCAUCGGCCACGUUCAAACGCCGGCCUAAUAUCUCCACGGCCUGCCUCGCCACUUCAACCCUUGCGACCCAUUCUUCUCCAGUGGUGACGUCAAUAGGCUCCUCGCCACGUUCAUCGUCACUUGCUUCGGUGGUUGAAGGUGGAUGAGAUGUUAGCGCCUCGCUUGGUGUGGGAUCCAGCAACAUUUCGUCAUUACUCUUUUGGUGCUUUUUUCCCUUGCGGUUCCUCUUUCCACCAUCCGGACGGAUGUUGGUGGUACUAGCGGCGUUUAUGUCCCCUUCGGUUGCCAUUCUCUUAGUAUCAAACCUCGCUCUGAUACCACGUUGUCACGGACUUAGAGUGUUGGCUAAAGUUCCGUGCGGCCUUGNNNNNNNNNNNNNNNNNNNNNNNNNNNNNNNNNNNNNNNNNNNNNNNNNNNNNNNNNNNNNNNNNNNNNNNNNNNNNNNNNNNNNNNNNNNNNNNNNNNNNNNNNNNNNNNNNNNNNNNNNNNNNNNNNNNNNNNNNNNNNNNNNNNNNNNNNNNNNNNNNNNNNNNNNNNNNNNNNNNNNNNNNNNNNNNNNNNNNNNNNNNNNNNNNNNNNNNNNNNNNNNNNNNNNNNNNNNNNNNNNNNNNNNNNNNNNNNNNNNNNNNNNNNNNNNNNNNNNNNNNNNNNNNNNNNNNNNNNNNNNNNNNNNNNNNNNNNNNNNNNNNNNNNNNNNNNNNNNNNNNNNNNNNNNNNNNNNNNNNNNNNNNNNNNNNNNNNNNNNNNNNNNNNNNNNNNNNNNNNNNNNNNNNNNNNNNNNNNNNNNNNNNNNNNNNNNNNNNNNNNNNNNNNNNNNNNNNNNNNNNNNNNNNNNNNNNNNNNNNNNNNNNNNNNNNNNNNNNNNNNNNNNNNNNNNNNNNNNNNNNNNNNNNNNNNNNNNNNNNNNNNNNNNNNNNNNNNNNNNNAGGGAUUCUCUUCAGCCGAUCAAUUAUGUGUCUCCAGUGCUUUUUAUCUCGUCGGUAAAAUGAAGAACCCAAAACUUUAAGGGCUAAAGGGAGUCCACCAGCAUACUUCACCACUUGUCUUGAAAGUUCCAAAAAAUCUUCUUUUGGGGAUUUUUCUCUAAAAGCAUGCCUACUGAACAAUUCAAGUGCUUCAUUCUCAGAUAAUAGUUGGACUUCAUACACAUUAUCCCCGACGUGACUGAUUAACAGGUGCUUGUCUCUUGCUGUUAAAAUAAUUCUGCUACCCCUACCAAACCACUCUGGCUCUCCAACCAAAAAUUCCAACUGUUCUUGAUGGUUUACGUCAUCGAUGAUGAACAGAACUUUCUUCCAGCGAAGCAUAUUCUUUAAAAUAUUCAUCCCUUCAUGCUCACUAGUUAGAGUCAUAUUUUUUCCCGAGAGCUUGCAAAUGACGACUUGUUGAAGCCAUGUUAGUCCAUUUUUCUGGUGAAGUUUUCCAACAUUACCAAGAAAACAAUCAGCUUCAAAUUGAUGGCGGUAUGUUUGAUGUAGAACAUUUGCAAUUUCUGUUUUGCCGAUGCCGCCCAUACCCCAAAUACCAAUAGAGCGAACAUCAUUUGAUUCCAUAUCUAAUAAUGAGGUUACUUUCUCAACCUGAGAUUUCAUACCCACUAAGCUUUCCGGGAAAGGUGAAAUACUUUGAAGUGACUUAGGAAAUAUGUCAUCAACUAGUUUCUUGAUGCACUCAGCCUCAUCCCUACAUUACAGUGGAAAAUAAUCUCAGAGUAAAUAAAUAGAAAAACAAAGACUUGUCAUAGACUAAUAUCUAAAACAAACACAUAAUAAUGUCAAUUAUGAAUUAUAACAUUUUAAAAUCUAAUUACAUCAUCAAACAAUCAUAUAUGUCUCUGUUUUCCUUUUUCGGUAAAAGUAUAGCUG
rnacentral:lncRNA from 1 species